rnacentral:lncRNA from 1 species
UUUUUUUUUUUUUUUUUUUAAAAGGUGGUCGAAAACCGCACUUUCAGUGUAUGUCAUUUAGCACGAAAUUCAAAAGAGUUUAUUUUUGUCUCUCACUAGCUAGCGGCGCUAAUGGCCGUUGAAUUUCAAUCGUUAUAGCUUUUGAAAAAAAAUUGUAAAUCAACCACUUUAUUAUAUCUUUUGUCAAAUCACCCCCUUUCACUGAAUCACAACCGUCCAAUUUUAACAUGAUCAACUCGAUGAAGAUUGUACGGCUGGUGUUAUUGCUAUCGUCAACAAAAUAUUCUUCCACAAUAAAUGAUCUUUUUUUUUUGUUUAUACACAGUUUUCCCAAAAACUUCCUAGGUCCAAAGGACUAAUCUGUGUCGUUGCGGCCCGAAUGUGAAAUCUAUAGUGGUCGAGAAUCGAAUCCAAGUGGCGGUACUCACAGCUGUGAGCUCUUUACCACCAGAGAGCUAGACGUCCCGGUUCAAUAAAUGAUCUUUGCUCUGACACAUCACUUAAAGUCCAUUAUUCUUCUUCUUUGAUUUACCACAGUUAUUAUACCAUAGCUACUGUGUAUUUGUGCGUAAUCUCAGCUGUACGGACGAACAUUCUUGCUUCUGAAGCUCAGAUUCUUUCUCUCUCUCUCUCUAUAUAGAGUUGUCUUCUUCUGUUUGAUAUCUUUUGUCCUGGACCUCGCUUCAGAAGUGGAGGUUCAUCUUCAACUUGGACUUCACUUUGUUUCUUACUAAAAUGAGGUGAUUUACCAUUUUAAGUAGCUAAUGGCACCUGCUUUUAGUAAAUCAUUACUCAUUUUAAUCAUUUCCUUAAAAAGUAUCAUUAGUAAUAGUACUCUAAAAGAAGCUGAUUAGUUAAGAAAAAAAUAGCAUCUUUGUUUUUGUGGGUGUUCCUAAUCUUCAUUGUACAGUGAAAAAUUAUUUCUUCUUGUCCCUUUCUGUAUAAUUUUCUUAAUUAAUAUUUCAAAAUAUAGAGAAUGGCUUCCAUGAUUGCAUUGGUUGUUCUUGCAGGUUCUUGGUAGUUGGUGAUGAAGAAACAAAAAUUACAUUAAGUCAUUGUUCUUUAAAAUAUUUGUCUCUCUUUCUAUUUAAAAGAUAAUGCCAGUCUUCUUACCUAUCCUUAUGAGGCUGUAAAAAAGUUAAUGCAUAGUUGAGGCAGGGACCAGAUGGUUGGUAUAUUUAUUAAUAUCACCUGAAUGAGAAGAAGAAACUUGUUUUCAUAGCAACAAAGAAGGAAAAAAAACUUGGGUUUGUUCUCUCUUCAGAAAAAGAAGCAAUAGAAAUUUCAAUAGAGAAGAAGAAAGGAUGAUGCUAAUGAGAAGAAGGUUGGGUUGCCGCAGCAGGGAGAUGGAGAUGCGCAUUGAUUUUGAUGAACAAGAUAGUAAGUACUACCCUCUCCACCCUUAUUAUAUCAUUCUUACACUAACCAUUAUUCCUUGAAGUCUGAAUCUUAGUUGAUAUGAAUUACAAACUAGAAGAAAAACUAAAACCUUACCUUUAUUUUAGCUUUUAGGUGUUUCAAUUGUAGGUGUCUACUGAUAUGGAAUGUUUAAGACUAUAACAGUUGGGUAUAGUUUUCAAAUACAAGUGAGUGGCCACUCCAUUUGUGUCUUGUGGCCGGUUUAGGAUUGGUAUGGGACCAAUGUCAGACUCUUAAAUCGGACGUGAAUUAUGUAGCUUUCCACGAUACAUCAGUGCAUACAUUCAAUUUGAUUCAAGAACAUUUUGUGGGAUUCAGUGUCCUACUUUCUUUGGAAGUGGGGGUUAAGUAGUAGUGAGGGUCCUUUAAGUUUUCUCAUUUGUUUAAAGAUCAUUGAUUAUAUUUAUUCAGAAACUGCCGAGAGUAGGUAGUUAAUUGGUUUCACAUGGUCACUAAGACUAAAUAAUUCAUAAAAGAAAAUUCAAAUUGAAGUAAAAUGUGGUUACAUAAAUAACUCCACAAGGAAGAAGAAUCCAUAUCCUCUUUCAAAUUUCAAGGGAAGAUAUAAGCAUUAAUUAAAAUCAAAACACUAUUUUUGUUUGAUUAAACAAUCUUUGUUACAUGCUAUGGAAGUUUGAAAAAUGUUAUGCCUCUCGACAAGUGAUUAAAAGUCUUGGUGGUGGGUCUGUCUAGAACUUGCACUACAUAGGGAUAUUAAUUCAUUGUUUUUAGUUAUUAAAGACUUUUAGAAUCUUUCUAAGAUGAUAUUUUACUAUUCAUUUUAGAACUAAUAAUGACACAUUAACAUAAUGUUAAUAUAAGCCCACAAUUAUAUAUGUUCCUUUUUAUUUUCACACAUUUUAAGUAUAUAAUGUUUAUUUUUAUCAUAUUUAAUAUGCAAUCGAAUAACUAUACAUGGUGCAUCCUGUGCUUUAGCAUGAAUUUGUUAGCAGUACUUUUUUUAUAAAUUGAAGCUGGUUUACAGAUUUUGAAAAAUAAAAAUCUUAAGUGUUUUUCUAUUCAAGUUGGAUGUUUGUAACCUUAACUUUAAGUACUUGGCAAUACAUAGGUCGGUAACUUAUAGUGUAUAUAGCUGUAGGUUACAUACUACGUAGUUAUAUAUAAGUGAUGUCAUGAUAUCAAAUGUGAAUAAGAAAACUCUCCUUUACAACUGGUAAGUGUUCUUGACAGAUUUAGAGAACCCUCAACAUUUUUUGGAAACAGAAAGAAAGACAUAAUAAAAUUUUUGAGAUUUGAAAAAGAGACUUUCACUCUCCUAAAAAGUUUUCUCCCCCUUCUCUCUAGUCUAACUUUCCAUUAACGCCGCAUCUCUCUGCUCCGGUACUGGUGGUCCCUUAGACCAGCGUCGGAGGCUCCCGUUAGCUUCUUCCUCUUUUUGUUUGCUCCAUCGACUCCUCUCUUUCCUCGUUCAGUCCUGCCUUAGCCCUGGUUUUGUCACGCUGCCUCAGGUCCUUCAUCUACUCGCGAUAGAUCCAGCGGCUAGGGCGUUAGCGUAGGCAGAUCUGGUGUGACGGCGACAAUUUGUGUGAGGGACUGUCGGUUGGGGUCGGAUACGAGGGUGGUCGGCGCCGUUUGUAUCUUCGCUGGAGCUCUCUCAGUUGAUUUGACUUGGUACCAUGGCGAGGUAGAGGAGAGCGUCUGGACCGGCGUCGAUCUUCUCUCACGCUUGUUCAAAUCGCUGGAGAUCCCUCUCAGUUACUUUUUCCCAGAUCUAGGGUUUCGACCUCGAGAGUUAGGGCGCGUGGAGUCAAGGUGCGACUUCUUCCCGGCGAAUCUUCAUUGCUGGGUCUCCUUCGAGUGGCUCCUGUUAGGUUUGUGCCUUAUGGCUGGGUUUAGGUCUCGGUUUCUUGGCUUCGGCCAUAUCCACUUUGCUCUCGGAAGAUCCUACUACUGGUUCUCAGAUGUGGGUGCGUGUGAGGAGCCUCUGUUCUCGGUGUUGUCGCCCGAGUUUAGUUGGUUUCUGUGGCAGCACGUGAAGAGUCACGAGACAGCAUCCACGUCUCUUUGUUGGUCUCUGUCUUACGGAGGAAGGUUCUUGACUGUGGCAACUCGUCCGUCUCUCUCUCUCCACAAUAAAGUAUCAUCUGUAGGAGGUAAUGCUUCUUUGGAAGUGUUGGUCUGUUGAGUAUGGAUAGGAGUUAGUUUGGCAAUCGGUCCUCUUGCUAGUUUAAAGGUCGUUUUCUCCGGAGGAGGUGUGCCCGAUGUGUCCCAUUGCUCUAUAUGUGCGGUGGGUUAAAUGGGUGUAUACGGUCCUGGGGUUGGAGGAUUGGAGGCAGCAAUCUCCACUUCACCAUCCCGGACGACGGCACUGCCGGUCUGUGGACUCCUCCUCGUGUUGCUGGUGAGGCGAUUUUGAACGGACUUGCGGUUCCGUGAUGGGUUUCUUUGUGUUAGUGUUGAUGAUUGAGUCUCUUGGAAGCUGUAGGCCUUUGCCCGGUGCUUCAAGGUUUAGGGGUGCCUUUCUCUCCGGGAGCUCGCGGCAACCGGGAGCUUAGUCCGCUCAUACCUCUGCUUUGGACCAUCGACACUACGCUACUUCCGGUCCUUCUCUUUGAUCUUUCUUCUUCCAUUUAGAAUCAGAAUUUCUUAUAAGUGCUCUGUUUAGUUUAAUUAUUGUUCUUCCGCUACUUGUCUUCUUCGUUCUUCCGUAUAAAAUUAAAAAUUUGGUAUAAUAAAUUUAACAUUUUACUAAAAAAUUUUUUUUUUUUUUGAGAUUUAUAAAAAAAAAAAGAUAUCUAGGAUGUGUCAAUCAUAAAGUCCAUGGCAUGCUUCAGGACCUUUUUGUGUUUCUUUUAAGAUAAAAUACACGAAAGUUGUUUACAUCUAUAUAUAUAAGGGCUUAUUUGCCAAAUAACCAAAAAAAAUGAAAAAUUAGAUUUUGGGAGAGAGAGUAGAGAGAGAUAGGAAGAGAAAGUAGAAGAGAGGAGAGGAUUUUGGUUAGUUAGUGUAUUUAAUUUUUUUUCAUGUAUAUAGGGUGCAAUUUCCCUAUAUAUAAAGUAGAGUUCCCUCUCUCCAGGGCCCUCCACGUCAGAUUCCACCUAAGAAAUUCAGGUCUUCUGGUGUCAACACGUGUCUUCCUACACUUCGGGUGAUUUCGCCAUUAACUUCAACCAUUAUUUCUUUCUUAAAAGCAUAGAACUGACAAAAUCACAGAGCACUCUUAGACUUCCCUUAUUAUUAAUGUAUUCAUUAGAUUCUUCAAGUUUCCUUUACAGCUUCUCCAAUUCGUUUCUUUUUGCUUUUGGAUUUUCGAUUUUAUAAGAAUUCUUCAAUCCUCCGAUUUCUUUUGAAGCGCCUGAGACGAAGAAACUGGUGACAAACUAUGGAUACCUCCCGAGAGAUCCAACUUUCGUCUCCCUGUCAAGAAAGAAAACAAGUUAAUCUAGAAACAGACAUCUUUGCUUGGCCUGCGGAAUCUCCAUUUUCGGCAGCGGCGGCUCUGACCGGCUUGAUAAUAUCUAUUUUCUCCGGCCAUCUAUCGCGUAGGUGAAUAUCUCUUUUCUUUAGAUUAUAGAAUAAACUUCAAAAAAAAAUUGUUGUUUAUUAGGACAAAUCUGCUAUGUCCUCAUCUGAUAUCAACAUGUUUCUUUUCUCAUAUGUAAUGAUUUGAUGCAAGAGAUGUGAUCCAUUUCCCUGUUUGCCGGUGUGAGUUAGACCCUGGAGUGGUUGGUUCUGGAAGCCAUGAGUCUUUGCACAACACGGUUACAAUUACUAUUCAAGACUUAAACUAUGAAGAAGUGAAUCCUCCUUCCACUAGUUCAAGCAAAAGGUUCCCUGAAGCCGCCUCGGCUUGGCCAUUCUCUAGGUCACAUUCUACAGGUCGUUUUAUGGUUAAGACCAAAAGAGAACAUUACCAAUUCAAAGAAAAUUAUCCUACCACUAGUUCAAGCAAAAGGCUUAUGGAAGCAUCGGCUUGCCGAUUUUCGAGGUCACAUUCUACUGGACAUUUCAUGGUUAAGACGAUGGAUAAGACCAAAGGAAAACAUUACCAGACAGGAAGCAGUGUCAUGUUUGAAGAAAACAAUCCUACAACUAGCUCAAGCAAAAGGCUUAUGGAAGCCUCGGCUUGGCGAUUUUCGAGGUCAUAUUCUACAGGACAGUUCAUGGGUAAGACGAGGGAUGUCACUAUGAAGAUCAAAGGAAGACAUUACCAAACAGGAAGCUGUGCCUCGUUUGAUGAACUUACUAGGUAUGAUGAAGCUACAGGAUACGGUAUGGCUUGGUGAUUCAUCAUUACAAUUAGCAUUAUUUGAAGUCUAGUUUGCGAAUAAAUUUCUAUUUUUUGUGUGUUCUUGAUAGCAGUAGAUAUUCAAAAACUUGUAAUAAAGAUGUGUAGUGAAGAAUAAACUGAGAAAGAAUAAGAGUCAUCACUCCACAGGUUUUUCUUCAGAGGCUUCUAUUGUGUCAUCACCAUCUUCAGGUUCUUCUUCAGAAGUAUUGUUGUCUUCUAUUGUGUUACUAUCUUCAGAUUCACCAGCGCUUCUCAAGCUAAACUUUAGACUGAUGGGUCUGCCCAUUAGCUCCUACAGGCAAACAAAACAGUAAUGAACUCUCUCAAUAUACUUAUCGGUCUAGGUGGCACCUAUGCGCCCAAUUAGUCCGUAAAUUGGAUCUAAACAAAACAAUUUUUUUUAAAAAAAUCGGUCUAGACUUCCAAAAAAUUGUCCUAAGUACCCGCCUAUUCAAUAUUUUUUUAUAAGUCUUUCUAAUCACUGCCUAACAAUUUCUUGAACAUUGUUUAAGAGAAAGAUAGCAAACUUUAUACCUUCCCGUCCAAUUUAGAGAUUGCAUCCUCAGCUUCUUCUCUAGUAGGGAACGAGACAAAGCCAUAGCCAGAAGCUCUUCCUCCAGGGUCUGCGAAAACAACACGAGCUGAAACAAGGUUGAAGUCUGCAGCAGUGAAGAACUCACGGAGAUGGGUUGAUCUCGCUUUCCAAGCGAGGUUAGACACGUAGAGUUUGUGACGAGUUUCUUGAGUAGAAGGAGGAAGAGCUUUAGGAGGUUUCACGGUAGGCUUCUUGAACCUUUUUGCAAAGCUUACCCUUAUGAUCCUCCCCGAGACUUGCUGAUAAACAAAGUAACAUAUAAUCAAAAGAACACACAAAACAAAACAAGACAAGACAGAAGAAAACAUUUGAUAUAUAACUUACGAAAGAAUCGAACUUUUCAACAGCGGAUUGAGCUUCUUCUCCAGAAGACAUUGUUACGAAAGCGAAACCUCUGUUCUUCCCAUCUUUUUGCUUUAUGAUCUGAUAAUAAAGUUUCAAACUUUAAUAAACAAGAACAGAACUUGUACGAGUUCAAGAAAUAGAAACAAGAACCUCGACGCUGGAGACAGUCCCGCAUUGUCCGAAGAGCUGGGAAAUGUCGUUGACACUCAUGGACCAAGGGAGAUUGAAUACAAAGAGCUUCCUUUUGAGAUUCUCCUUCUGGGUUUCUUCGGUCGGAGGAGAUGCUUCUUCCUCCGUGACGGAAGAGCAUACGGAGACGAGCCGCCGAGAGUUAUUAUCGCCGCCGGCGCGAAGAGGAGUACUGAGAGGGAAGACGGAAGUGAGGUUACUUGGAAUUUGAGUACUUAAGGAGGUGGGUUUAGUUUGCCUAGAGAAGAGAUGAGGUUUUGAGGAUGAAGAAGAAGCGAAGGAGAGGAUGGAGAGAGCAGCUUCGAGAACCGCCAUUGCUAACUUCUGCAGCCAAUAGGAGUGGAUAGACCGAAACAAAAGGAUAGUUUUUUCUUCUGUACCGGUUUGGUUUUUUUCUUUGUACCAAAAGCCCAUUAAUUAUAUAUAUCUAAGCAUUUAAAAGGCCCAAUAAAAGCCCAAAUAAUUAGGGCGUCUUCUUCGUCUCAACUGAUUCAUAUAUAUAUAUAUAUAUAUAUAUAUAUAUAUAACACAACCACAUAUAUAUAUAGUGUAUUUUUAAUAUUUAUAUAUAUAUAUAUAUUAAAUAAUUAUUUAAUAUAUUUCUAAACACAAUCAUUUAAGAAUUUAUAAUGAAUAAUUUUAUUUUAUUUUUUGAUCCGUCAACUGUUACAACCCUAUUUUUAAAAUAUAACUCAUGUGUUCGUGCAAAUAUAAAAUUUAAAACCAAGAUUAACCGAAAAUCGAACCAAUUUUUUGGUUCAUUUCGGUGUGGGAUUGUAGAUGAACUGAAUAAACCGAAAAUACCCAAACCUCAUGCCUACUUUGGAGAGGAUUCACUCAUUCACCCUUUCAGACAGAUUAUGUACUUCCGCCGACCGACUUCUCUUUGGUCGUUAUUGCCUUAUAGGAACUUAAAAGUGAUUACGCCGAAAAAAGGAACUCAAGAGUGAUUUUGUCGUCAUUUACGAUAUUUUUUCUUCCGCAGUUUUAAUGAUAUUUUUGAAGUUUAAAUAGAUGUGAUAUCUCUGAGCCAUUCUUAAAGUGUGUUAAUCCAAUUAUAUAUGAAAGUAGGCCUAAUUUAAAAAUAGUUUGUAAAAAUUCAGAUGGCCUGCAUGACGUAUAUACAGCAAAAUCUAACUACUGUUACUCUUAUUCUUAUUCUUAGUUCUUACUGUAAUUUACAUAUAUGAUAUAGAUCAAUGAUAGUAGUUUACAGUGGAUAUAACCACCAAACAUGUUUCGUAAGAACGAAAAUAUGCAUCCAAUAAAGUUUGUGAAAGUGCAUAAUAUUAUAUAUACUUUUUUACGAAGAGAAAGUGAACAAUAAUAUAAUCACGUUCAACUUUGCUCUUCAUUGUUGGGUCUCCUUCGAGUGGCUCCUGUUAGGUUUGUGCCUUAUGGCUGGGUUUAGGUCUCGGUUUCUUGUCUUCGGCCAUAUCCACUUUGCUCUCGGAAGAUCCUACUACUGGUUCUCAGAUGUGGGUGCGUGUGAGGAGCCUCUGUUCUCGGUGUUGUCGCCCGAGUUUAGUUGGUUUCUGUGGCAGCACGUGAAGAGUCACGAGACAGCAUCCACGUCUCUUUGUUGGUCUCUGUCUUACGGAGGAAGGUUCUUGACUGUGGCAACUCGUCCGUCUCUCUCUCUCCACAAUAAAGUAUCAUCUGUAGGAGGUAAUGCUUCUUUGGAAGUGUUGGUCUGUUGAGUAUGGAUAGGAGUUAGUUUGGCAAUCGGUCCUCUUGCUAGUUUAAAGGUCGUUUUCUCCGGAGGAGGUGUGCCCGAUGUGUCCCAUUGCUCUAUAUGUGCGGUGGGUUAAAUGGGUGUAUACGGUCCUGGGGUUGGAGGAUUGGAGGCAGCAAUCUCCACUUCACCAUCCCGGACGACGGCACUGCCGGUCUGUGGACUCCUCCUCGUGUUGCUGGUGAGGCGAUUUUGAACGGACUUGCGGUUCCGUGAUGGGUUUCUUUGUGUUAGUGUUGAUGAUUGAGUCUCUUGGAAGCUGUAGGCCUUUGCCCGGUGCUUCAAGGUUUAGGGGUGCCUUUCUCUCCGGGAGCUCGCGGCAACCGGGAGCUUAGUCCGCUCAUACCUCUGCUUUGGACCAUCGACACUACGCUACUUCCGGUCCUUCUCUUUGAUCUUUCUUCUUCCAUUUAGAAUCAGAAUUUCUUAUAAGUGCUCUGUUUAGUUUAAUUAUUGUUCUUCCGCUACUUGUCUUCUUCGUUCUUCCGUAUAAAAUUAAAAAUUUGGUAUAAUAAAUUUAACAUUUUACUAAAAAAUUUUUUUUUUUUUUGAGAUUUAUAAAAAAAAAAAGAUAUCUAGGAUGUGUCAAUCAUAAAGUCCAUGGCAUGCUUCAGGACCUUUUUGUGUUUCUUUUAAGAUAAAAUACACGAAAGUUGUUUACAUCUAUAUAUAUAAGGGCUUAUUUGCCAAAUAACCAAAAAAAAUGAAAAAUUAGAUUUUGGGAGAGAGAGUAGAGAGAGAUAGGAAGAGAAAGUAGAAGAGAGGAGAGGAUUUUGGUUAGUUAGUGUAUUUAAUUUUUUUUCAUGUAUAUAGGGUGCAAUUUCCCUAUAUAUAAAGUAGAGUUCCCUCUCUCCAGGGCCCUCCACGUCAGAUUCCACCUAAGAAAUUCAGGUCUUCUGGUGUCAACACGUGUCUUCCUACACUUCGGGUGAUUUCGCCAUUAACUUCAACCAUUAUUUCUUUCUUAAAAGCAUAGAACUGACAAAAUCACAGAGCACUCUUAGACUUCCCUUAUUAUUAAUGUAUUCAUUAGAUUCUUCAAGUUUCCUUUACAGCUUCUCCAAUUCGUUUCUUUUUGCUUUUGGAUUUUCGAUUUUAUAAGAAUUCUUCAAUCCUCCGAUUUCUUUUGAAGCGCCUGAGACGAAGAAACUGGUGACAAACUAUGGAUACCUCCCGAGAGAUCCAACUUUCGUCUCCCUGUCAAGAAAGAAAACAAGUUAAUCUAGAAACAGACAUCUUUGCUUGGCCUGCGGAAUCUCCAUUUUCGGCAGCGGCGGCUCUGACCGGCUUGAUAAUAUCUAUUUUCUCCGGCCAUCUAUCGCGUAGGUGAAUAUCUCUUUUCUUUAGAUUAUAGAAUAAACUUCAAAAAAAAAUUGUUGUUUAUUAGGACAAAUCUGCUAUGUCCUCAUCUGAUAUCAACAUGUUUCUUUUCUCAUAUGUAAUGAUUUGAUGCAAGAGAUGUGAUCCAUUUCUAGGGUUUUCUGAUUCUUCGAUCUAAAGGAGACAAAACUGCUUAAAUCGGCAUGACGCUUCGGUUUGUAAAGGGUUUCGAUCACGUCCUUACACCUUCUUCCAUCAAUCUGAACAAAUUCUUCCAGAUUCAUCGCAUUAAAAAGGUAUGCUUUCAUUCUCUCCAAAUCAUCUACAUCUUUGAAUCACUUUUUUUUGCGAAGCAUAAAGAAUCAAUAUUCAGGAAGAUCGUCGAAGGAUUCAGACAUGGUGAAGAUCGCUCCUAGAAAUCCAGAAAGGUUGAAUCUUUGUAUCCUUUUAUGUAGUUUAUGUACCCAUUUUCAUUGACUCCAUAGGUGUCGUACCUUGAGAUUAAAAGUCUUUGAGAGAUUUAAGAAACAGUUCGAGAGUUCUCUGCAGAUGUAUGGAUCAUGUUUCUUAGUAAAAACCUUUAAUUGUUUGUUUUUGUUGUGUUUUUUGUUGUGUUCUGCUCAGGUUUAGUGUUCAACAUGUUCUUCUUUUUUUUUCUUACAGAACAGGAGAGAGACCAUGAUCAAGGAGAGAAUCAGAAACUGAGUCUAUAUUAAGCCUUUAGUCUAAAGACCCUACUUGCAGAUUAUCUGCUUCUGAUAGCUUACAAAGGUACACAUAUCUACCAUCUUAUGUACACACAAAAAAAAAUCUCUGCUCUGUUUGGUAUCGACUAUCUGAGUCACCCUUUGCUUAUAGUUAAAUGUAUGAUUAAUAAGAAGGCCAUUUUCUGCAUCCCAAGGAUCGGGUGACUCAUCAUCAUCAUUCCCUUACUUUCUUGAACUAAAUUGUUUCAUGAUAUCUCAUACUAAAGACUGUUGCAGAUAGAAUAAGCGGGUGUGUUCGAAUGCGCAUAGUGGCUUUGAUAGUUUCUGCCUUUAAGUUAUCUUCCCUUAAGUGUCGUUACUGUGCUUCAGUGUCAACUUAUAUCCUUUGUGGACACUCAGAUCUCUUUAUUUCCAUUCACGUUCUUAGUAAGACCUUAUUGUGUCUAAUUUAUGAGCUUCUUACUGAGGCUUUUCUGGACUUUAAGCUACUGAUGAAUCUCAUGUGUAUUUGUGCUUCUAAAAUUGGAAUGUAUUCCUCUUGAGUUUUUGUGAAUUGAUUUAAAUGUUAUUGGUCAUAAUUGGAUCGGUAUUACAUUGCCCUUCAACAAAUCGUAAUUCACAGUGUGAACAUACAUACGUUUGUGAACAUACAUACAUACGAAUUGUGAAGCAUUCAUAGUCUUCUCUAUUAUUCCAGCCUCCACAAUAAGACUUUCUCAAGUAAUGAAGUGUUACUAUCUUCUUUUUGCAGCUACAUACGUUUGAGUUGCUAUUAUAGUUAAUGUGCACAUUAAGAUAAUGCAGAGAUGAAUGUCUGAAUCUCAGUUUUCAGUUGCAAAAGCUGAGGAAGAUAAUGAUGAAAAGCAUAAACCAUCAACUCAGGCUCUCAGCUAUCAUAAUAUUUCUCAGGUCUUUCUCUGACUUUCUCUUUCUCUAUAUUUUUAAUUGUCCCAAAAUUUUUAGGUAAGAUAGACAAUGCUAUUCAUUCACUAAUUUUCCUGGUGCAUCUUUGAAGAAUCUUCUGAACACAUGUGUCCUUAUAUACUUCUACAGUGUUUAUUCUAAUGAUGGUCCUAAGCGAACAUACUUUAUUCUGGGAUUACAAAACUUGAUUUCCUAAAAUCUAUCUUCACUCUAAACUUGUGAAGAGUAUCACUCUAAACAGCAUAUUUUAUUUAUCUGUGUAGUACAUGGGAUUUCCGUUACGUCUGGUUUCAAUCGCUCUCUCUCUCUCUAUGUGUGAUCUAGCAUAUAUGUGUCGUAGCUGUAAUGUAUUGUAUGAUCUCUCAAAUAUUUCUGUAGUAAUGGACUUCACAUAUGGAAAAGAAUGCUGUUAUUAGUUGAGAACAUGUUAGUGUAAAUUUGGUUUCACCUGUUGACUUCAUCAACUGGUCUAACUAUUUUUAUUUGGUUUCAGUCUCAAUCCGUUCAUUCAUAGCAGGAAUUCAGAGUAGUUACCAAGACCUAAGCUUUUACCAGGCUUACAUGUUCAAAGCACCUAUGGUUACAGUCAAAAAUGGUUCUUCCUCUCGGUAUGGUCUCAUGCUCAACUGACAUUAGCCUCCCACUGUGUCAUGUAAGUCUCAUUACCCAAGCAUCUGAUAUAUUAGCUUAAACCUUACUGUCUUGAAACUCUCAUGAUUCACCUAUAAUAUUUUGGUUAAUAAUUGAAGGUAAGUUAUAAAUUGUGCUGACAAAAAAAGUUAAAAUUUCUUUAUUUGUUAUGAAGCUCUGUUUUUCUAUCCUCCAUUUCAUUUUUUGGUCUACAGAAACAGCUAUGUGGUAACAAUGCAGCCAGUAUCCGCAAUGUGUGAUUGGCAAGUUUGGGCAUACCUGCAAAUUUGUUCACUCCAUGAGCUCUCAUUCUUCUUCCUUAAGCUACAGCCCGAUGGUUUCUUCAGUCAUUGACAUGCCCCUCACACCUUACCCUCUUGAGUCCUCAUUGCUCAGCACAUUAGCACCCUCUUGAGUCCUCAUUGCUCAGAUGUGUGAUCUAGCAUAUAUGUGUCGUAGCUGUAAUGUAUUGUAUGAUCUCUCAAAUAUUUCUGUAGUAAUGGACUUCACAUAUGGAAAAGAAUGCUGUUAUUAGUUGAGAACAUGUUAGUGUCAAUUUGGUUUCACCUGUUGACUUCAUCAACUGGUCUAACUAUUUUUAUUUGGUUUCAGUCUCAAUCCUACCCUCUUGAGUCCUCAUUGCUCAGCACAUUAGCACCCUCUUGAGUCCUCAUUGCUCAGCACAUUAGCUCCAUCAUCAUCAUCCUCAGAUGAAAACGCACAGAGCUUCACUCUUCGAGCUCCAAGAAAACUCAAAACCACAACACAAGUGGUGGCUCUGAACCGUUGCUGCUGAAGUCUCUCCGUCUUCUUCUUUGACAACCAGCCAGAGCCAUUCUGAUCCUGCUAAGACCAAAAAGAAUACCCAGUUAGCAUUGAGUUUAAGACUUAGAAGUUAAAGAUACAAAGCUCAAAGGGGAGAACCUCACUCUACUUCUUCUAUUGUUCCUCUAUCGCUCUUUUCUUUUUAUCAAACUUGCAUGAACUGAGGACAUGAAAGAUGUCUAUAAACUAUAAACAUGUUUGGGACCAAGUAAGAUAGAUUGAACUAUAAUGAGUUUUUUUUUAAUAUAUGAAAAAAAGAAACUAAAAAUAUUUGUGUAUAGCUUUGAUAAAAAAACUGAUCAUUGUAAUUUUUUAUGCAUAGCUCUUGCAUUUCGUUAAGUUUCUUUCAUGAUCAAAAUUUGUGUAAUGUUUUACUACGAAUCUCUUUAACUUUAUACUCUUAAAUAGUAUGGCUAAAAAAAUACAGCAAAUAGAAAUAUAUGCAAAUUGUUUAAGAACAUCUGUAUAAAUACACUAUUAGGCGAGAGUGCACUGCACUAAAAUUAUAUACCGAUUGCUUGAUCAAUAAGUUAUUACUAAACCAAGAUGAAUAUAACAAAACCAAAAAAAUUUGAUCCCACAAUAUCCGGCUACUUAAAAACGUUAUACACGUUUGUCAAGCCCAAACAAGGCUACAUUAACAAACGUAAUAGUCCAAUAUCUCUAACGGCCCUUAAUUUGUUGAUAAAAUGUGCCACUUAUUACUUCAAACCGAAAAUACCGUGAUAUAUCGAAAUAUCAAAUGUUAUUGUAUCUAGAAAAUAUAAUUUUUUUAUAGAAAUUAUGUACUGGUUUAAAAAGGUCAACUAUAGUUUCAGCAAUGAUAUGAAAAUAGAAAAUAUAUAUAGUUUCAUAGUACGAACGAUAGACCAAUAUAAAAGAACCCGGCAAAAAAACACAUAAAACAAAAGAAAAAUUAGAUGAUUAAAACAAAUAGAUUAAAAUAUCCACACAACCAUAAUAAAAUAGAACUUAUCUCUAUUCAAUUUUGGAAAUUACCACAAAUACCAUAUUCACAGUACUAUUUAUUAUGUUUACACUAACUAAUUUUACCCCCACUUUUAAUGAAGAAUAAAAAACAUUUAUACCCUAAGGUUAACUAAUCUAAACUUAGGGUUUUGAGUUGAAGAGUGAGAUAGGUUUUUUGAAAUGUGAAAUUUAAGAUUCUAAAAAAUAUAUAAAUAAAUACUUAAAAUAUAUUUAAAUAUUUUAAAAAUAGUUUCAAACAUAAUUUUCAAAAAAGAAAUUCAAAAAAAAAAUCAAAAACAAUUAUUAGGAUAAUUUUAAAUAAAAAUAGUUUAUUAGUAUAAUUUGUAUAUAUAUUAUUACAUUUUCUGAAUUAUUUUUUUUCUAAUUUUGUAUCCUCUAAAAAUAGAGAACAAUGAAAGUUACUCUCAUCUUAAUUCAAACCAAAAAUAUUUAUUAAAAACAAUAAUAUGAUCUCAAAAUUAUUUUAUUGUUUGUUUUUCUAUAAUAUCAUUUCUAUAAUGAUUUUAAAUGCUUUAUAAAUUAAUAUAAAAUUAUAUAAAAUUGUUUUUAUUAUAACUUUCCGCCCGUAGGGCGGGCCGACCCUAGUAUUAUAUACAUUACAGAUUACUAACUACACAACGUACAUACUACAUACACACUGUAGCAUUCAUAUCAUCAUCUUAAAGGAAGGGUUCCUUCCAAUCCUUGAAUCAGAAAAGAGUAGCUAACAGCUAACUUUAUCACGGCAUGACUUCAACAGACUUGGAUUGUUGGAUCAACAGAAGUUUAAAAAGGACACCUCCUGCAGCAAAUGAGUCUCGAAGGUGUCUUUCACCCACUUUUUGUGAUUCUAUCUCACUCUGUUGAGCGGUAGGACUUCUAUGGGCUUAAGGAAAAAAAAAAUCACCAGCCUAAAAAACCCAACAGACACAUAAAUGCAUGAGAUAGAUAUCCAACGCUUUAAGAUAACAUUUAUUCAAUUUGCACUAUGGAAAUUCAUGUACAGUCAUUAAAAAUUGUGCUGAGCAAAGAUCAUGUAUAAUAGUAUAUUUUACAGAACCAGAAAGCUGUCAAAUAAGUUACAAACUAAAUCAUUCUCUCUGUAUAAUAACUAGGUCCGUGUCCGCCCUACGGGCGGAUAAUGUGGUGAUGUAUUUUUCUUUUUAGUUCAUAUAGAUAUGCAAUAUCAUUUGAUAAAUUUACCCUAAAGAACUUAAAAAGUUUGAACUUGGGAAGUAAGUAGUGAUCUUGUUAUCCUUUUAUUAAUGUUUUUUUGAUGAUUUCCUUUGGCCAAAAGCUAUAUUUACAACGCAUUUUUCAUGUAAGUUCAAUAUCUUGACAAAAUUUUAGAGGAAAGAAUUUUGAAUAUAUGAAAAGAGGGUGAAAAAGAAAUCAUACAUAUUCAUCUGAAGGGUUUGUGGUUUUAUUUAGAGAAGCAAAAAAAUCAUAAGAACGCAUGAACGGGUGCCUAUAAAUUUAAGGAUUUUAAAGUUAAAUAUAAUUAAAAAAAAAUUAAUUAAUUUUAUUUUUGUGUUAUAGAAUAGAAAAAAGGUUAUCAUGUUAAUGAUGCUAAUGAAUCUUGGAACAGCCGGAGUAUAGAGUCCAUUUUAAACAAUUAGUUUUAACCUAUAUGUUAAAAUAAUCAAGUUCUCACUAUGAAUCCCUUAGAUUGCAAGAAACCCAACUUUCUAUUUUAAAGUCCAAUUUUCUGCAAAGUGGAGAAAUACUAAUGUACCACAUAUAGAUGUUUAUAGUUUCACUCUAAAUUUUAAGCUGCAAAAGAGAAAUGAACUUACAUCCUUUAAAAAGAAGUAUCUACUAUAAUUUAAAUAAGAAGAAAAAUCAUUAAUCUUGUAAGUGUAACUAAUGAUAUGUUAGUUGUAUCCAUUAUUAGUCUUAUCACUUGCCCAAAUCAGAAUUUUAAGCAAAUGUAAUGUGUGGAUCGCAAUGCAUUGCAUUUAGUCGAUACUCGGCCCAUAUCAUAUACACGUAAAACAGUUAAAAAUGAUACAAAAUCAGAUUUAUUUCAUAACAUACGGCAAAGCCUAUAUACAAUAUACAGCACACUAAAAAGCCAAAAGCUUCAAUUAAAUUCGGAAAGCAUCACAACCAACAAACUAAAUCAUCAAACUCAAAGAAAGAAAUUAUUAAACAUAAAUUUAACCAACAAAGUUUAUAAGAGAGAUAGUUCAAUAUUGCAAAGAUAUAGUCUUAAAUUGGAAAGAAAGAAAGCAUAGACUCUUAGUCACCAUAAAUCCAUCACUUACACACAUCCUAGCCACAUUUGGCUCGCUUUGAAUCUUCUGCCUCAACAUUAUCAGCAGUCCUUUUCACCCUCUCACCACCAGAUUCUUCAAAGCGUGUGGAAGGACCAUCCUCAGCAACUCCAUUCUGCAAAGUUUUCUGGGCAUCUGGUACAGUCACAUUUUUUACAUUGCCUUCAAUUUCUGGAUCUUCUGGAAUGAGCACCUUUGUCACAGUCAAACUUUGGGUCUUGCAAGUCAAAUUGUGAGUUGAUACCUUCACAAUGAACUUGCGAGUCUGUCCUAUGGUAUUGAUCAGAGCUUGAGGCACCGGAACCAAGUGAUCAUCUCCCAUAUUCUCAUUGGCCUAACAUACAUUUAAACGAUUGUCACUAUAUAUAUCAAACUAUUUUGUGAAAAUACAGUUUCAAAUAACAAAGAUAUACAGGUUUGUAAUUACCUCGAAAUAACUAUCAACCAACUCAGAAGCUUUCUUGCCAGUCAACUCCUGACCAGCAUCACCAAGGAGCACAAAACACGCCUGAUCAUCAUUGUCAUACACAGAUAUCUUGGCUAGGUACCUGUGUCAUGAGCAGUUUUAUAAUUAAUGCAUUGAAGUAUGAGUAUAAGUAAAUCUGAACCACUUACUGUGCAACACCAACAAUAUCACUCUUCCCACAUUUUUUACACAUUAGGGUGGUAGGUCCUUUGGUUGCUUUAGUGUGGCACACACCACAACCUAUGUAAUACCAUCCUGAUCCGUGCACAACAUCACCAACUGUUGCUAUGCACUCAAACCAAGCAACCUGCAAAACGUUUUAAUAAUUAUAUUAGAAUCUGAGUCUAUCAUAAUGGGUGCGUUACUCAUUGGUAUGUACUACCUUGGCAGCUUCCUGCUUCAUAUAGGAGAAGAGCUCGCCUAUGGUCACUGUCUCAGUCUUAGUGACAAUUUCCGCAGCAACUCUGUCAGCAACAUCCAUGUUUGAGUUCAACCUGAAGACAACGUCCAAACAUCAGACAACAAUAGGAUAACUACGAACAAUAUCUAAACACACGAAUGCUUACCAAAUGAGAUAAUCUCGGGUUGCUUGAACAUCACUGUCCAGAAAUACCCGUGAUGAUGUCAUAGAGGAGAGAGUUAGGACAUCUAUAACAGAUCCAAUGUUAUAAUAAAAAUGCUAAAUUAUAAUGUAAAAUGAGAUGUAGAAUUACGUAUAUCUCUUAAGUCCUCACAAACUUUUUCAAAUGUCUUAUAGCUAAUAAGCCCAAAUUCAUUCAAGUGCAGUUCUAUUACUCAAAGCUAACUAAUCAGAUAAAAUCCAUUGACCAUCCUAUGUAACUUCUUAAAACAUAGGAAAAAGCUGAUGAUACGAACCUCUAAAACGUUUCGGGUUUAAGGUGGUGACCAAAAUAACACUUGCAGCUCUUCCAGAUGCUUUAAAUUUUCCACUAAAAUCAGAGGCAGCCUUGUCCCAGAGGUACAACUUCAUCACCGGACCACUUUAACAUCAAAAAAUGUUUGUUAAGAGUGUCAAUAUAUGAUUAUGAAAAAGAUAUAGAUUAGCUUACUCAUGUGUUUGAACAUGAAGCAAAACUCGGCGGGAUGAAGCUAUCUCGGCAUCAUCUAGCACGAGACUGUCAUUGAGAACUUGCCCAUUCACAAGCUUGAUGUGACCAACAUAAUCUGCAUAAUAAACAAUCAAACUUAGUGCUUUAUAUCUUAUAAACCCACCAUGAAACCUUAAUAUCUAAGAAUGUAUCAGAACAUUAUCCUAGCCAAACAAUGCUGAAUAUAUUAGUUUGAGUUAAACACAUCAUCUAAGGUUAGAUUAAACAUUAUACUAUAAAACAGUGAGAACUUACCAUAGAGAUCCCCUCUCAAGUCGCAGGCAGCAUCAAACUCCUCAUAUCCAUGGAACCGAAAACGGUCCUCAGGGAAACAAACCGAACUAUCCUCUAGAUCAGAGUGGACAGAAGACGAUGAGAAGGUGAUGGUGACACUUGGUUCAGCCACCCGAUACAGAGUCUUGUUAUUAGACCCGUAAAAACUGUUAAGCCUGUAAAUGCCACCAACUUUCAUGUGUGGCAGAUAAGUAUCUAUCCUCCCAGCUGGAAUGAAGCCCUGGAUAACAGUUUCCUGUUAUCAACAAUAGAGAAAUUAAAUUAGGAAGCUAGACAGGAACUCUUAGAAAAAUAAACACAAACAUUAAAGAUAUUCAAACCGCAAUGCAUCAACAACAGAAAUAAAGUUAUGGUUCUAUUACCAAUAGCAAAAACUUGGUACAAAUUCAUUAAAAGAACCAAAGAAUAGAACGCUAAGUUUGAAUAUAAACGAUUUAGUAGCAUCUCGACUAAACAGUUUUUUUAAACUAAACCGCAAAAGAGAGUUCAGUUUAUACCUCUUGGUCGAUGAGAAGCAUCUCGAGACCGAUAAGCAUCUUCGUCACAACAUUUCGAGCUUCCCAUAAAUGGAUCAACCGAAAUCUCAACUCGCAUCCAUGAGGUCCGAAUUUCACAUCCUUGAAAGACAUCACUUCCACAGCUUUGGCGGAGACAAUGGCUUUUCCCUUGGCGCGAGAGGAGACAGCGGCUUUGCCUCUAACGCCUAAAGAGACACCGGUCUUUGUACCUGCAGUGGAAUAUGAGCGUUGAAUUCAUCAAUGCGUUUAUAUUUUCUGUAGACUAAACUAUCAAUAUAAUAAAAAAAAAUAUUGUUCAUAUCAGUGUCUUCAAUCACGAAGCUCUAGACUCAAUAACUGUUCUGGUGAUCAAACGGACUCUAUGAUUUGAUAACAAAACGAACCACAAUAUAAAUAUAUAGUUUGUUCAUCUCAUUGUUUUAGAUCACAAAGCUUCAUACUCUAUUUUUUUUGGUAAUCAAACGGAAUAUAUAAUUUUGAUAACCAAAAGAUCAGGUUCUUACAGUCGGGGUUCUUCGAAUUAGGCACGCCGAUCGAGAGGCCGGAAGAAACACCGGUCUUGCCGCUGGGUUUGGUCAGACCGGAGGAGACAGACGCUUCGCUUUUGGUUUUCUUCGAGUGGGGAUCGCUGUUCGAGAGGCCAGAAGAGACAUAGGAUGUACCGGUGGGCUUAAUCGGUCCGGGAAAGGAGUCAGCAUCAACGCCUUUUGGUUUCUCCGACAGGGUUUCUCCGUUCGAACUCAUUGCAAUUGCGAUGUAGUAAUGAGACUGUAGAACAAAAUCUGAUCGAAAUAAAACUCAGAUCGAGAGUUUUAUAAACAAAAUCUGAAGGAGGAAAACAAAGUGAGUCCAUUAAUGAGAUUAAAGAGAGACAAAGUGGAGGAAGUAUUGAUGUUCGAGGAUGAAAUCAUGAAACUGAACAAAGAAGAGGAAGAGCAAAGGUUCCCGUAUCGAAGAAGGCGAGCUCGAGUAAUAUUAAUCCUGUGUUUCCGUCUGUCAAUUAUGGUGGGCUUUGUGGCCCAACAUCAUUUCACGAUACAUUUAAAAAAAAAAGGAAUUUUCGUAUCUCUGUCUAUCAUUUACGAUGGGUUUAAUGGCCCAACAUCAAUUCACGCCAGAUUUUUUUAAAAAAACAGGAAGUCCAGAUGACGUGUCAAAUAAACAACUUUCUAUUGGACGAUUUCAAUGUCCUACGUGGACAGGCUCUCUAAUCAGUAUAUGUUCCUUUUAUUACUUGUGUGAUAAGGCGAAGCAUCUAUAAAGACAGUACGUAAAAUGAUAACAUAUUACCUUGUCAAGAAGGAUCUUAUACUCCACAAGGUCAUUGUGAAAGCGCUGCAGCUUGUCAUUAUUAGCACUGAUUUUGGAAAUUUCAGUUUCUAUCUCUCCAAGAUUGACCUGAAAAGGCAAAAGAUGAAAUCAAAUAUAGGGAUGAAAAAAACGGGAAGCAAUGGCUGUCCCACAAAUUAGAAAACAAAAUCAAGCAUGUGGGUUCACCUCAACAACAUCCAAAUCAAUAUCAACUUCUUUGUCUAAAAACUCUCUUGGAGAAACUCCAAUCUUUGACAUUUGGUCUUUGAAGAAAUGUAUAUUUUGUGACAUCUCUCCACAUCUUUUAUCUUCAUACAUAUCAACAAUAAGUAAGGAGAUAAAUGUAAGAUAUACUUUCUUUCAACAUACAUAACAUCUGAAAGAGAUAUGAACAUACAUAAGAAACAAAUAUCCAUUAGAAAAGGCUCUUCUCAUAAUUAAGCUGAGAUCAAAAUGAAAAUAGGAAUCCACAAAGAUUGUUCCAAUGAUCAGAAAGCUCGAGCCAGAUUGCAAAAGAAAUCAAGGUUGAAAGAUAAACCUCAAAGAGAAACCGAUUACAAUGGAGAAUGAUAUAACUGGUAGAGAGAUGAUCAAAGAGAGCGGGAGAGCCUCCUAGAAUCUGAGGAGACGCACUUCGACGCUGGAGCUAAAACGGUGGGUCUCCAUAUCGGCGAGUAUCAGGGCGAAGAUCGCUAUAACAUUCGCUGAAAAAGUAAGAAAAAAAGUCAUUGAGCGGAAUGAAGUGAUUAGAAUUUGGCUAGGAAACUAACAUAUUUACAGUGGAGGAUUCAAGUGAAGGCUUCAAUGAGGGGAUUCAUUGAAUGAAAGAUCGUGUGAGUAGUGGGAAUUUGGUGUUAAUUUGAUCGUCAAUAAGGAUGCACGAAUCCAACAGACUUUGAUAGCAAUUCAAAAAAUCAAUGAAGAGUUGAAGAAGUCGAAUCGAACAGCCAAAUACGACGCCAUCGAACUGAAUUUAAUCGGGAUUCAUUCUGGCCGGUGUAAUACGACGCCAUCCAAACACGAAGAGGGAAUCAGAACUCCAUGGUUUCGCGUCUGUAGAAUUAGGGUUGGAGAAGAAAUCUAACUAUACGGGCCGCAAUAAAACAUCGAAAUCUAGAGUUCAAACACGUAAAUGCACAGAAAACCCAACAAACCUCAGAUUAAAUGAAACACUGAGUUUUGCUCACCUGGGACACGUGUCAUGCCCAAAGAGCUCGACUUUAUAAUAUGGCAUCUUAGGUGGCCUCACUAGGAGAGAUAAAACCUUCUUUUAUAUUGAUAGAUGAGCAAAGUACCGACUAGUGCUUCUCCUUGAACUAGAGAAUUAUCUUGGUUCGAUGCGUGCCACCUGAAGCUUCUCCGCUUUUUGUAUUUAGAGGGUCUUAAAACUAUUUGAGCAUGAGACUAUUGUAAAUGUAUUAUUAACAUGCACGCACUUAACUAGUCAGUACAUGCAACAUUUUUUUAAAAAUAUCAUCAGAACAUAGUCCUCAAGCUCUCUUUUUCUUGUAUCGGAUCUUGAUACUACAGCUAUGAAUGGUGACCAAGGAAUGAUGAGGAACAAUGCAUUCCUUAACAUUCCUAACAAUUUUUCCAUUCAUAUAGAAUAAUUUUUUCUUUUCAUUCCUCUCGUUUCUUUUUUGGUAGAGAAUUAUAGAAUAGAUUUUUUUCUCACUAAAUUUGAUAUGGAAUAAUUGUAAUAUCCUAAUAAAUCAACGUUAAAAAAAUGAUAUGGAAUAAGAAUUUCUCGUCAUUUCUAUAAUUUUAUUCGCAUCCAUUAUAACGGUAGAAAAUGAUUACCAGUAACUAUUUGUAGCAAAUCCAGCUUCUUUUUUAUUGAUCGACUUGUGAUUGCGGAGGCAUCCCCUUCUUCUUUGGGAACAACAACCCCAUCAACGAAGGCAUGUUUAUAUAUACACUAGGGGUUAAUUCGCGCUACGCGCGGAGCUAUUUUGAUUUUCAAAUGUUAACUAUAUAACUAUUAUUUUGGACGUUGUAUUCUAAAUUGUAUAUUUGUGUCUAAUUGCACAUAUUGUAUAUUUACACAUAUAUCCUUAGAUAAAACCAGAAAAAAAACUUUACAUUUUUCAGAUAGAUGUUUAAUGUAGUUUUUCAUUUUUUAUAUCAUAUAUUUACUUAUUAUUUAUAACUAAAUACUUAAAAAAUAUAAAUUUUUUUAUUAAGAAUAAUUCCACGUUUUGCUGAUGUAUAUUUACUUUUUUGACCAUCUAUAAAUAUAUAAUAAAAUAAAAAAAUAGAAUAAGUAAAUAUACAAUUAAGAAAUGAAAAAAAAAAACUAAAUUAAAGAUCUAUCUAAAAAAUCUAUAGUUUAGUAAAUAAUAACUCAAUCCACAAUAUAAGAAAUAGAAAUUUUAUAUUAAUCGUAAUACUAGAAUAAGUAAAUAUAAAAUAUAAGAAUAAAUAAAUAAUAAGUAAAUAAAGUAUAUAAGAAAUAAAAAUAUUACAUUAAAUAUAAAUUGUAAUAUCAUCAUUAUUAUAAAAGCAAGAAAUUUAGAAUAAAUAAAUAUACAUAAUAAGAAAAGAAAACAAUAAGUAAAUAUUCAAUAUAAAAAAUGGUAAAAACUAAAUUAAACAUAUAUCUGAAAAGUAUAGUUAAAUAAACAAUAAGUAAAUAUAAAAUGUAAAAAUAUUACAUUAAACAUCUUCUAUAUUAUUAGAAUAAUAUUUGAAAUUGGUAAUAACUCCUUCAUCUAAGAGUUAAUCCGCGCUACGCGCUUAACUAUUUUGAUUUUCAAAUAUUAACUAUAUUGCGAUUAUUUUGGACGUUGUAUUAUGAAAAACAACAAAAUUUUGAAUUGUAUGUUUGUGUGAAUACAUAUUUUUAAAUAGAUGUUUGAUAUAGUUUUCCAUUUUUUAUAUUAAAUAUUUACUCAUUAUUUAAUUUUUCUUAUAUUGUAGGGCAAUUCUCUCAAACAGAUCUUUUUAAGUUUUUGUCACAAAAAUAUCUUUCAAUAAGGAAAAUGAUCAAAAUAGCUCCUUUUAAUUUUGAAAAUUUUAAUUUUAAUUUUAAUUUUUUAAAAUUUAAAACUCUAUACUCAAAACCUCACCUCUUAAGUCUAAACCCUAAGUCUAUAUUAGUUAAUCCUAUGAUAUACAUGUAUUUUUACUCUUUAAUAAAACUUUUUUAGUCAUUUUUGUCAUUUAGAACUAUUUUGUGACAAAACUUUAAAAUGACUAUCCUAGGAAAUUUUUCUAUAUUGUAUAUUUAUUUAUUCUACUUUUUUUUAUUUUAUAUCAGAUGGUAAUAUUACGCUAGAUGUGUAAUGUAAUAUAUAUAUUUCUUAUAUUGUAUAUUUGCUUAUUAUUUAUUUAACUAUACAUUUUCUAAUUAACUAUACAUUUUUCAUAUAGAUCUUUAAUUUAAUUUAUUCCAUUUUUAUAUUGUAUAUUACUUGUUGUUUUUCUUUUUUUUUGUAUAUUUACUUAUUCUACAUAUCUUGCUAUAUCAAUUAUAAUAAGGGAAAAUUACAUGUUUACCACUUUUAUAGUACCACUUUUCAUUUUUACCACCACUAAAGAGACAUUUUCAAAAAUAUUUUCUUCAUUAAGUGGUAAAAGACUCUUAUGCCCUUGUUAUUUAUAUAUAAAAUAAAUCAUUAUUUAAAUAAAAUAAUAAAAAAAAUAAAAAAUAAUAAAAAAAAUAAAAUAAAAAUAAAAAAAUAAAAAAAAUACAGAGAAAAUAAAAAAUAAUUUUUUUUAUGUUUUCGAAUUAUACUUUUUCAAAUUCGAACUUUUUUAUAAAUUUUUUUUUUUGAAAUUCUUUUUUCUGAAUUUUUUUUUAAUUUUUUCAUACAUUUUUUUUGAAAAACGAAAAUUAUGUUUGAAACUAUUUUUUAAAAUUUUAUAUAAAUUUUUUAAGUAAUUAUUUAUAUAUUUAUAAGAAUCCUAAAUUUCAUAUUCCAAAAACCCUACCCCACCCCUCAACUCUAAACCCUAAGUCUAGAUUAGUUAACCCUAAGGGUAUAAUUGUCUUUUACCCUUCAUUAAAACUGAGAGUAAAAAUGGUUAGUGUAAACAUGAAAAAUGGUACUAUGAAUGUGCUAUUUGUGGCAAUUUCCCUUAUAAUAUUACGAUAUAUAUUUAAUGUAAUAUUUUUAUUUCUUAUAUAUUAUAUUUACUUAUUUUUUUACAUUAUAUAUUUAGUUAUUAUGAUAUGUAACAUUUUAUUUUUUAUUCUUUAUAUUGUAUUGUUACUUAUUAUUUAUUUCUUCCAAUAAUGUAUAUAUAUUUACUUAUAAAAAUAUUUGUAAGUAAUAAAAAUGUAAAGCAAUAUAUUUUCAUUUCUUAUAUUGUAUAUUUACUUUUUAUUGUAUAUUUACUUAUUUAAUUGUUUUGCUUUUAUAUCAAAUUUUAAUAUUACGAUAGUUUUUAAUGUAAUAUUUCUAUUUCUUUUAUAUUUACUUAUUUUUAUUUUAUUAUAUAUUUUUCAUAUAGGUGUUUAAAGUAUUUUUCGUAUUUCUUAUAUUUUAUAUUUACUUAUUCUAGUAUUAUAAUAGAUGUUUAAUAUAAUAUUUUUAUAUUGUAUAUUUACUUAUUUUUUAUUUAACUAUAAAUUUUUUAAAUAUAUGUUUAAUUUAGUAUUUAUUUAUUCUAAUUAUUUUGUGGAGCCUCAAAAGGUCUCUUUUAUUAGUAUAGACUAGAUUUUACAAUCGCGCUACGCGCGAAUCUGUAUUAAUAAUUUAAUUUAGUUUUAUAAUAACUUUUAAACUAACACUUUAAUUGAUUUAUAUAAUUUUAUUAUUUAAAAUAUGAUUUGUUUAUUUAAAAAUUUAUUUUUAUUUAUAAUUAUACCCUGUUAUUAUCUAUUUAGUUACUUGUAUUUAUAGAUGCAAUAAUCAUUUUUAUAAACAUAUUCAUAGUUUUUAAAAAUAUUAAAUUAUAUUUUAAAAUAUUAUGUAGAUUACUCAAUGCUUGUAAGUUGUUAAUACAUUAUAAUAUUUUAUCAGAAAAUUAUAUAUAUUUUAUUUGAAUAAUAAGCGAUUAAACUAUCCGCAAAAUAUCUAAUUUUGCUUUAUAUUCAGAAAAACUUUAUAAUUAAUGUGUGAUUUUUAUACAUAUAUAUAUAUAUGUAAUAAUAUUUCGAUUUAAAAUUUAAUCGCUACAAAUAUUUUGAUGAACUUUAACUAAUAUUAAAUCAUCUUUGUAAGAUUAUAUAAAUUUAAAGUAAAUAUAAUGAAUUAAAAAAAUGGUAAGUAACAUUUUAUUUUUUGAAUUAAUAAUAUAGAGAACCUAAAGUAUAAUAUUUAUCUAUUACUUGAUCUAGUUAUUUAGUUGUAUAGUAGUGAAGCUUGUAUGAUUGUAUAAUGCAUCACAAUAUAUCAUAAUUUACUUUUUUUUAUUGAACAAUAUUAUUUUGGUACGAUAGAUAAUAUAUGUUUGUAUCUGAGUUUCCAUGAAUAUUUUUAAGAUCAUUUAUAAACAAUUAUAUAAUUUGAUAAAAUAAUAAUAAUUCUAGUUGCUAAAUGCUGGCAAUAAGAUAACAAACGUCUUAGAUAGCGUACUCAUUGUAAUCUUGAGAUUUUUUUAAAUGUUAUAAGUUUGUAAAUUUGUAUGUUUUUAGUUUGUUGAUGAUAAAUUCAUAUUUAUUAUUUUUUCUGUCAUUCUUUUAUGUUAUCUUUCAUGCUAAUAUAUUGUUGGUCGUCCUUAUAAUUUUAUUAAAAAUCUUAACUAACUUAUUUGACAUGCUUUCUUAGAUUUUUUUAUUUUAUUCUAACUUGUAAACAUUGUUCUCUAAAUAUUUUCUUCAACAUAACUCAACAUGGAGCAUCUUAAACUUUAUAUGUUAUAUGAGGUGUAUCAGACUAAUGAGUAUAAGAAUUCAUCAUUUAAUUUGCAUUAAUAAUAUAAUUUUUAAGAAAUCUUGUGAAUCACAUCAUGUUAGCUUUAUUUCAGUAUAUCUUAUUUGUUUAGUUUCUAUGAAAAUUUUGACUGUAACUGACUAAAAUAAUAUUUGUACAAAAAUAAAAUAAUAGUGCUGAUUAAUAUUAAAAAUUUUAAUAGACAAAUAAAUUCGUUAGUUUUUUGAUGGAUUAAAAUAAUUUGAAACUCAUAAAUAAAUUUUGGAACGAAUGUAAAUUUCAAAUAUUUUUCUUAUAUUGAAAUUAUUCUCUACUCUAUCCGAUUUUUCGGUGUGAUACAUUUUUCGUCUAUUAGAUUUUGUCUUUCGCUUUGUAUGUCUACAUUCCAUCGCGGAUGUUUUACAUUUUUCUUUGCACUAAUUUUCAUUUACCGUUAUUGUUCACAUUCACUUCAAAUCCUAUAUUCCUGACGCUUUGCUUGUUCAUGAAGAUUAUGUUUGGUUUUUCGAUUUGGAUAUUAUUUAAGAAAAUACAUUUGUAUUUAUAGAUGGAAUCAUUAUGUUUAUAAACACAUUAAUAGUUUUUGAAAUGUUAAAUUAUAUUUUAAAAUAUUAUGUAGAUUACUCAAGUCCUAUAUUCUUGAUGCGUUCCUUGCAAGUCAUAUACUCUUGACGCGUUCCUUGUUCAUGAAGAUUAUGUUUGGUUUUUCGAUUUGAAUAUUAUUAAAGAAAACACAUUUGAUAUUGAUUUAACUUAUUUUGAAAAUACACUUUUGAAAUUUUAUUUUGAAGAGUAUAUUUUUAUUUUGUGUUCCUGGAAGGAAAAAUAUUGUAUCUAUAUCUAUGAAUCAAUUUAAUUUUAAUGAUUUAUAUAUUAGUUUACCUUAUUUGAUGUUGAAUUUCAUUUUGUAUUAUCAAUUUUGGAAAUUUUAACAUUUUAAUAAUACUAAACUAUAUUUAUGAUUUUUCAUAUUUUGAUUGUUUUUUUCUAAUCCUAUGUGUAUACUCUCAAUGACUUAUAUCCUCAUACAUAGUAUAUGUUAUUUUUGAAUAUUUUCAAUAGUAUAUAGCCUAAACUUUGAAAACCAUGAGUUAAAUUAAUUUACUUAUAAUUGUUUGAAAGUCUUGUAUUCUCAAUAUUAAUUCUUAUUUUGUAUUUUAUUUUAAUGUUACAUUUUGAGAAAUAUUAUAUAUUAAGUAAAUUUAACUAUAAUGUUUUACUUUUGUUAACUUACCUUGUUUAAUGAACAACUUCUUAUUAAAACCCUACUCGAGGUCGUGAAAUACCAAGAAAGAAGCAGAAGCAACCAUAAUUUUGAUUUCUUUUUUUUUUCACUAUCUAUCACUUUCUCAAAGUAAGCAGAAGCAAUCAUAGUUUAGACUCUCUUGGAAACUAAGACAAUUAUUUAUAAUCACACAAUACUUCAUAUAUUAUAAAUUAGAAAGUUUCUUAUUUUAUAUAUUAGUCAAAAAAGUUUUAAUUGUUUUUGUUAUUUUAACUAUUUUAACAUUAAAAUAUAUCUAAGAAGACAUAUUUUUUUGUUAAUAUUACUAAUUUCUAUUAAAUUUAACAUAUUUUUUUGUUAAUAUUACUAUUUUCUAUUAAAUUUCCAUUUUACUUUAAUAGUUAGCAUUUUUUAGUAAGUUAUGAAAAGUUAAUAUCUAUUUUGUUAGUUUAGUAUAUUGAUAUAAUAGUAAUUUUGUUUUUAAAGAUUAUUUUUAAUAUUAACAUUUUUAAAAAGAUAAUAAAUUAAGAUGUUGAUUUGUCAUAUUUUGAUUGGUGGUUUAAUAUUCUACGUGGACGCUCUUAAUAGCUUAUAGCUUCAAUUUUUAUAUAGUAUAGAUUUAUUAAUAUGGAUUAUUCUAUAAAUAUGUUAAAAUUUGACUUUUGGAAAUUCAAUUUUUAGUUUUCUGCCUACAAAUUAACGUUGAGUCAAAAAAAAAAAAGGUCUCUAGGGAAAAUUAGCUUAUUUUGAAAUGUUAAAUGGGCCUACGAUGGCCCAUUAUACAGCCUACGGCGAAGUCACGGCGCCGUAAAACGAAAACCCCAAGUCGGUCGGAGGAAGUGAGCAACCACAAGGAACAGUCUCUGGCUACGAAAAUGGUCCAGCCCCGAUUCGUCCGUCCGUCGCCAUCAUCGCCUUCCUCCGGCACCGGAGAACCCAACUCAUCCAAUCUGUACGUCGCGAAUUGCGGGCCGGCGGUUGGACUUUCGCACGACGCGAUAGGGGCGGUGUUCUCUGCUUUCGGUGAAGUGAAGGGCGUCUUCCCGGCGGACGAGAGCGGCGUUCGUGUCAUCGUCUCUUUCGCGGAUCCGUUCUCAGCGAAAUCCGCUCUAGAAGCCUUGAGUGGUCGGCCAUGUCCGGACCUCGAUGGAAGGACUUUACAUAUUCGAUACUCUGUUCUUCAGUUACCUUCCCAGGUACUUGCUUUCAAAGUUUUGAUCUUUGUGUUAUUGUAAUGUUGAUGUUGGUUUAAAGACAGAACCUUUGUGUCUUGUUUUGUGAUUCGCUUGCAAUUAGCAUUCUGUUCAACUUCACUUGCACCGAUUUGUUCUUUUGUAAUGUUUGUGUUGGGUUAAAGACAGAAACUUUGUGUCUUGCAAUUAGCAUUCACUUGCUCACUCUUCUGUUCUUGCUUAGACGCAGGUGAAUGAAUGCGUCCCAGUUUCUUUGUCUGGUUCAGAUUUGAAUAUCCCAGGGCUCUUCCUUUUACCUGAUUUUGUCACUGCUGAAGAAGAACAGGUACUAUCUCUGAUGUGCUUUAAGGUCUAGUAUAUGCACUUGAUGAUCAUGAUGAUCUCUUCUCUUGUUGCUUAUCGUUUUCGCCUCUAUCAGCAAUUGCUUGCAGCUGUUGAUACUCAGCCUUGGAUCGGUCUAGCCAAACGGCGUGUUCAACACUAUGGAUAUGAGUUCUGUUACGGGACAAGAAAUGUUGAUACCAAGAACCGUCUCGGAGAGCUUCCAACGUUUGUCUCUCCUAUACUCCAAAGAAUCUCAUUGUUCCCGAACCUUGACUACGACCCAGCAAGCUUGAAUCUAGACCAGUUAACGGUACAUCAUCAACACUUAGAUUCUUUAUAAUGCUUUUGAACUACAUUGAUGGCUUGAGGAAUUCUUGUUGUAGGUAAAUGAGUACCCAUGUGGUGUGGGUUUAUCACCUCACAUUGACACACAUUCAGCGUUUGAAGAUUGCAUUUUCAGCCUUUCUUUAGCUGGUCCUUGCAUUAUGGAGUUCAGAAGAUACUCUGCUUCCACAUGGAAAGCAGCAUCAACCACCACCGAUGACGACGAGAAGCCAGAUAGCUCCACUUGCAUCAAGAAAGCUUUAUAUCUUCCUCCUCGGUCUAUGCUCUUAUUAUCUGGGGAAGCUCGGUACGCUUGGAAUCAUUACAUUCCACAUCACAAGGUUUGUAUCUUUGUUUGUUUGUGUUGGCUUCAAUCUCUCCUUUGAGAUAACUUUGACCUCAACUCUUCUAUCUACUGCUGUGUUCUCUAAUAGAUUGACAAGGUGAAGGAUAAAGUGAUCAGGAGAAGUCCGAGAAGGGUAUCUUUCACAUUGCGGAAGGUAUAAUAUUAUCGACAACUUUCUAGACGAUGGUGUGACCAAUUAAUUCAGAGAGAUUGAUAACUUCUUUUUGGCUGCAGGUGAGAAAUCAUCCUUGCAGGUGUGAGUUCCCACAAUACUGUGACUCUCAACAACAAAAACAUAACUGAGGCAAAGGAGAAAUUCAGUGAAAUGAUUUUUGAAAUGUAUAAGUUGAGUAUCAAACUCUCAACUCUAUAAAUGUAGAUUUCUUUUUUAGCUCAUCCAGGAACAAUACUACCAAUUAUAGAGACUAUUAUGCACGAUAUCUAAUGAUUCAAACAGUUGUGUUUGUAAUUUGUAAUAUCAAAUUGCAAAGAAAAGAAGAAUUGUAAGAGACAAUAUUGGUUAUAUUUGACUGAUAUCAAAUGUAAGGUUCAUUGCAUGAUUUUUAAAAAGUAAAGGGGACGGAAUAAAAAUAUUUUCCUAGUUUUUCAGCAGACUGUAUAUUUCAUUUUGAACCCUCUCGAGUCUCGAGUCAAAGGCCAAACAAAAGCGAGUUUAAUUAGUUCUCAACAGAUGUUUAACAAUACUCUUCUGCUUCAUCUUCCUCGUCCCAUUCUUCCUUCUUUCACCAGGUGGGUUGUUUCCUUAUUUGUACUUUCGAAUUCACUAAUGUGACCAAAUCGAGAGAAAAAAAAAAUGAACAAAAUUUUAUCCUCUCAAAUCUUUGAUACUUAAGAGGCAAUGAUUGACUGACUCGGCCUCUUUUGAUUUCAACGUAAAUAUUGAUAAUUUUCAUAGUUUUGUUGACCCUUUUGAUUUUUUGAUUGAACAGUUGUCGAGCCAGCAGGAAGAUUCUUUCGAAAAGAAUGACUACUGCAAUGGAUCCUAAAGUUGGAAAAUUUGAAUCUGUUGAAGGAGCUGAUCUUAAUUCAAUAAGCAAACCUGAUGGUAUGUUUACUAACAAAGCUUGUCGUUUCUAUAAAUGUCUAUGUAAAAAACUUUGUAAUUUUCGAGGUGGUGAAUGUGAUGAGAGUUUUAAUUGUUUGCAGGCAUCAGAUUCCGUCUAGUUUCCUAUAACAUACUAGCUCAGGUAUUCAAAUAAUCAAAGGUCUUUCAUAAUGGUUUGACAAAAAAAUAUAUUUGUAUUCUAAUUCACAUCAAAACUGAGUCCUUGUAUUGUGUGUUUCUUGUACCUUUUUGUAUGUUUGUUUGGUUCAUGUGAUUUCUGAUUCUUUUCCUUUCUUUUAGGUUUAUGUGAAGAGCUCCUUUUUCCCACACUCUCCACCUGCCUGCCUCAAGUAUGUUUCUCAGUUUUGAUCAAUAGCCUAGAAUAUAAACACUUAACUCAAGAUUUGCCUCUAAAAAGUUUAUUUCCGAUCAUGAUUACAAGCCAAAAGUACUAGAACAAUAAUGGAUCCUAUUGAGUGUCCAAGAACUUUACCUAGAAACAGCCUCACUAUGUUUGGUUUUGCUCACACUAGUGUUCUUUUUAAUAUACAAUGUACUUUGCAAGUAUCCUAAAAUUGUUAAGAUACUUGCAGUAAAUGAGACCUGCUCUUCCUUUUGCAGAUGGAAAGCUCGUUCACAUGCCAUUCUCAGCGUUCUGAAAAAACUCCAGGCUGACUUCUUUUGUUUGCAGGUUUGUUCUCUGUGAGCUUCCUUCGUUUGAGUUUUUGGUUAGAAAUUUAGAAACCCUUCUUCUCAUGAGACCUAAUUACUUCUUAGUUAUCCAUUGGACAGUCUCCACUAGGUAGGUAGUUAAUAUUGUUACAUAUUUCUCUCAGGAAGUAGAUGAGUACGAUACCUUUUACAGAAAAAACAUGGAGUCUCUGGGCUACUCUGGGAUUUAUAUUCAGAGAACUGGGCAGAGAAAGCGUGAUGGUUGUGCAAUCUUCUUCAAGCCUAGCUGGUAUAUGAUUAAAAACACUAGUCGUGUUUCAAUUUUAAUGCAGAAGCCUUGAUCUGAUAGAAACAAGACUCUUAUUUGGAUUUAGUGCAGAGUUGGUCACCAAAGAACGGAUCGAAUACAAUGACCUUUUGGACGAACAGAAGAUUGAGACCUCCAACGAAGCAAAAGGUGAUGAAAAAGAAGCGAAAGGUAGAUAUAUGUCAACUUCUUUGUGGUGAUUCCUUUAUAUCUUAAACAUCAUUUACCCAUUUCUUAUCUACUCAUGUUUCCUUCAAACAAAAAAGAUUCUCAGAAAGACAGCCGUGACCUUAAUGAUCCACAAGUGAGACUAAAACGCGAUUGUGUUGGGAUAAUGGCUGCUUUUAGGAUCAACAAGCCGUUUCAUCACAUUGUCAUCGUGGCCAACACACAUCUUUACUGGUAAAAAAACAACUCUUGUUACCACCUAUUAGUUAAAGCAUGUCUCAUUCUCAUGUUUGCUUUCUUUCUAGGGACCCGGAGCUGGCUGAUGUGAAGCUUGCACAAGCCAAGUAUCUACUCUCACGACUAGCUCAGUUCAAGACGCUAAUAUCAGAUGAAUUCGAGUGCACACCUUCUUUGCUACUUGCUGGUGACUUCAAUUCAAUCCCUGGGGAUAUGGUUUGAUUCAUUUCCUUGCCUUUAGUUCUACACUUUAAAUCUAUUUUCUCAAUUGUUUUGUUGUUUUUCAGGUGUAUAGUUACCUAGUAUCAGGUUAUAAGAAACCUGCAGACAUAGAAGAAGAAGAAGUGGCUCCUAUUCCUAUGUGUAGUGUCUAUGAAGUGACUAGAGGAGAGCCUAAGUUCACAAACUGCACUCCAGGCUUCACAAACACACUUGACUACAUCUUCUUCUCUCCUUCAGACUUCAUCAAACCUGUGAGUAUCCUCCAACUACCUGAACCCGAAUCUCCAGAUGUUGUUGGUUUCUUACCUAAUGAUCAUCACCCAAGUGACCAUUUACCUAUAGGGGCUGAGUUUGAGAUCAGUCGUGAAUAGAAAGUUUUGUUUCCAUAGCUUCACAAUACAAGUGUUGAAAGACUUGCAUUAGUUUUCUCAACGACUUUAAAGUUACAUUUUUUUUCUGGUUCUUAAAGAAGAUUUGAAUUUUCUAUGGAAAAGAUUUAUUGUCAUGACAUGUUUACAUAUGAUGAUCUCGUGGAAUAAGAUUCCAGCCGAUCAUAAUCUGUUUUAUCUAUCAACCCUUAAGUAUGGUACUGCUGCACAAACUUUUUUUUUACCUAUUGAAACUCAAAAUGAACAUGUUUGAUGUGUGUUUCACCGAACAGUUCAUGGAUCAUAGUCAAAGCUUCUUGAAACAACCCGCAAAAGUUCAUAGCCUUUCUCUAUUAGUCUCGACCUUCUUUCCGGUGGCCUACUUUUACUUCAACACCAAGCAAUCUCACUUACUAUUAACCUUUGAUUGAAUCGUAAAACCCCUCAAAACAUCUCCCAGCCGAGCCAAUAGCUAUCUGAAAAAUCUGGAUUUUUACAAUAAAACCUGCAAUAUGGGCUGACUUGUUGACGGUAAAGGAAGACUGAGAGUCUGAGACCAUUACCUCGAGCUACAGAGGCAAUGUAUUUCCUCGAGCUACAUUGGCAACGUCUUGUCUGUAGCUGUAGGUGAAGCCACCGACAAAAAUCUGGAACAAAACCAUAUGUCAGGGAUAGCAAACAUAAUGCACAAAUGGAUUACUGAACUGACAAUCAAUACUCAUACACAGAUUUGAUACAUUGUAUCGAGAGUCGCCGACCUGGACUGAUGUUAGCUCGGGUGUUUCUCGGACAAGGACCCGCUUUGGUCUUGUCUUCAGGACGACGGAACUGGAGUUUGGACUCGGCGCUCCCUUACUUGGAACUGGCAACCUAGCGCCUGUAAUGAUGGCUCGUGGUCGGUCUCUGCUAUUGUGUGGCCUGAACUCGGAGCAGCUUUAGAGUCUUAACUCGAUUUUUUAAGCCAAUGUCUGCUAAAAUCUUCCAACCACAGACCUGAAAAGAUGAACACAGCUAACAGCAAAACAAUAUGCCCAAAGGAAGAAGCUCUCUUUAUUAUCUGUAAAAUUAUAGUUACAAAUUACAAUGAGACAAACCAAUAGUCUUGAGUAUUCUUUUUUUUUUCACAUUUCCUGCAUCACAUGUUACUUAUGCACGGUAAACAAAAACAAAAUCAGGGAGCUAUUUUGCUGGACUUCAGAUAUUUAAACCUAUGGUCAAAGUGUUUAAGGCUUCUUCAGAUAUUUCUUGGCUUCUGCAGAGAAGCUUCUUGCGAUUUCUUUAUUGGAGAAUGUUAAAGGAAGCUCUUCAUCAGCAUCAUCAGUCUCUCCUCUGUCUAUCCAGCUAUGAGGUCUACUCGAGUCUUUUGGACUAUCAUCUCCUUCUCUGGAUUCCAUGGGCGAGUUUGGUUCGUCUGGUAACUCGCGAUAUAAGUGUUUAAUUAUGAACAGAGCAGUAUCAUUAUCUCUCCAAUAGUUUCUGCACAAUAUAUAUUACAGUCGUUUGAGUUCUUACUUCCAGACGUAGAUGUAAUGUGUUAUCAAUGAUAAGUUUCACUUACGUAUGAGCUCCUAUGGCUUGUAGAUACGGAUGCUUAAAAGUUUUUUCCUGUAUCACCCAAAGAGUCAAGUCAAUUAAACUAGCAUGCUUAGGCCAAAUCCAACAGAAUAUUAAAAGGCUAUUAAUUAGGUGAUGAUGCAUCAUGAUUUCUUCUACCUGUAGCAUGUGAUCUAUUCGACCAUCUCGAGUUCCAGUCAACCUUUCCAUCAUUAAGGAACCAUAGGACCUUCCAUCCUUUUCGUCAUCGGUUUCUUCAGUCUCUGUUCAAGGAACAUUAGAAAGUAGAUGGAUGGAUUCAUCAACUGUGGAGAUGCCAUUUGGAGCCAUCAUAUGGGAGUGAAAAAAAGAGCAAAUCGAACUUUACCUUCUAGUUCAUCCGAGCUUUUGGAUUGGCAAAUAGUGAGAACUCUUGUCUGCAUGACAAUUAAAGAUGAGGCUUGUGUAUGUUGAAUCGCAAAAGAUUAAAAAAAACUAAGUACAAGUCUGGGAACACACACCCUUACUGAAGCAAAAUGAUUCAUUAAUCUCUGUGAACGCUCUGCAAAAUCCUCUUUGAAAUCCUAUAGAACAUUGCAGCUAACAAAAUUAGAAGAAGCAGGAAACAGGAACACUAAACCAUGAGAUUUUAAUUACCUGGAAUCCAAUAUGCAACCGCUUUCCACCUCUGUGGUAAGGAACAAGAACAGGUCGUUUGGGAAGGUACUCUUUGCAGACAAGUGGCUCCACUCUGCACGCAUGAAACACAAUAACGUAAUAUAGGGAGAGACCAAAAACUAGCUAGAAUACUUUUUUAUUCCUAUGAAGACUAACCUAUACGCAACAGGAUCAUAGGGGUGAAAAAUGUUGAACAUUCGACGACAAGCUGGCAUCUCUUCAAUAACAUUUCCCUCUUCCCAGUAAUCUUUUCCCUUACCUAAGACAUGUUAAACAGCUUUUACAUAAAAAAAAAGAGGAGACUUUAUAAUUCUACUCAACAAGUAUUACCUAUCCCAAGACGUAUAUUUCUAAGGGCAAGGAAGACUCCAAGAGGAGACCCAACUGCAAAGAAAGUGUCAACCUGAUACAGUUAAAAGUUAGGCUGACACAUUUUGCAUUGUGGUUCGAAUGAGAUACAAAAAAUAUUAAUUAUCGCAGACCUUGAACUCGAGCUUUCGGUAUUUGAUAUAAGGAGUAAAGCUAGAAGGUGCAGUGGCAUCUUUAGUUGGCGCCUUCUCGUUGAUGUGCUGUUCAGGUAUCAAAGAUGUCUUGGUUUUUUCUGUUGAUAACACCAUUUCAUCUCGUACCAAACAGGACUUGAAAUAUGGGUAAGAUAAAAGAAAAUCGAGGUUCAGAAAUAAUACCAUCGGUUAUUCUGGCAUUUUCUGAUUGCAGUUGCGCUACUUUUGACCUCAAUGAUUUAACCUGCGAAUAAAAUCAUUCCACCGAUACGCAAACAAACUGAUCAACAACUUCAACAGAAAAACACAAACCUAAGGAAGUAUGAGAAGCUGUGAACACGAAUGAAAGCUUGCAAGAAUAUAAACUAGGUAAUCUGAACUAAGAAGUUGGAUGUGUCGAUGUUUACCUCUUCCCGUAAUAACUUGAUCAUCUCGUCGUUAUUGGAAUUUUCACAUUUUUUCUCCCAUGAUUGUUCUGGAGAACAGGAUGAAGAAUCAGGCGUUCUACAGUCAGCUCCAUCUGGUCCAUCCUGUGAGGAAAUAGCACUACUAGAAUCAUCAUGAUGGUCAUCUUCCUGGCUCUCUCUUUUUCCCAAACCCACGAUGUCCACUACAGAAUCAGAGACCAACGAAGGACCUUCUUGAAAGACAUCUUGAUGCUCCAACAACGUUGUUUUUUUAUCCAUCAUGUCAUUAUCUUCACCUGUGAUUUCCUCGGUGUUAUUCAACUGGUUAGAUUUAUCUGGCUCAAUUUUUGAUGAUCGAUGCGAACUACAAGGUUCAUCAGCGCUAGCUUGAAUUGGAGGAGAUUCUUCAUCUGGAAAGAAUUUCUUGUAUACUGCAUCCAUUGGAAAUGGGGAUGACAAAUUGUGCUGAUGACAUAAGAUGUCAUAGGAGAGAACACUCCCCAGAGAAUGUCCAUAUAUGGAAAUCUGUAUAAUAAUGUCCAUGAACAGAACAUGAGUUUUUUUAAUUUAAUGGAAGCUUACACUUGUCACAGAUUGAUGAAAUGCAAUAGACUUAUAACCAGAUAGGCACCUUUCCAUCAUAGUCCGGGUUUCUCUUUAUAAAUUUCAGAUACAGUUUAUUGAGCUGGUUUGAGACCUGAAAGAUGUAAACAAGCACAGAUUAUAAUGAUGCAGAAGAUGAUAGUAACAAUGUCUAAUAAGCUAUUAGGUUGUUCAAAAAUUCUAAAACUAAAUCACAAACUAGAUUCAGUUUGGCACUACUAAAACAAAAAGAGUAUCAAAGUUGGGAAAUUGCAAUACCGAAUCAAUAAUAGCCUGACAAUAAAUGGGGCUCAUGUAGUAUAACACAUCAUGAACAGUUGCGCUCAGCAUCUCUCGCAAACGCCGUACACCGUCUAAAGUACAUUUAUCAACAGCAGCUUCACCACUUAGCUUUAAACCCUUCCUCCACUACAAAAAACAAUAUAGAAAGAAAGAAUAAAUGAAGUAAAAUCAUACUAUACAAAGAUAAACCAGAAAAAAAAAAGAUUUAUAUAUAGAGAGAUACCUGGCAUGGGAUGAAAAGGACUCUUUGAGUGCCGAGCUGAUGAGAGGUUAGAUGACGUUCCCCUAAACCUGCUGUGAUUUGGCGAAAGUUUCCAACGUCGUCAACAAGAUUAGACUUUUCACCUUUUUGGCCAAUACCAUGAACCAUGAAUACAAGAUGUCUAACAGGGACCUGGACAUAAUAACACACAGCACAAAAAAAUUGAGAUAUUCUGAAAAUAGUUUGACAACAGAGAUCAGAUGCUCUAUAUGCAAUUCAUUGGAAACGAGUAUACUAAGACAUACUUGUGAACAAUAGUCAUCCAUUUCUUCCUCCUUUUGUUGGCGUAGUUCGAUUCAUUUCCUUGCCUUUAGUUCUACACUUUAAAUCUAUUUUCUCAAUUGUUUUGUUGUUUUUCAGGUGUAUAGUUACCUAGUAUCAGGUUAUAAGAAACCUGCAGACAUAGAAGAAGAAGAAGUGGCUCCUAUUCCUAUGUGUAGUGUCUAUGAAGUGACUAGAGGAGAGCCUAAGUUCACAAACUGCACUCCAGGCUUCACAAACACACUUGACUACAUCUUCUUCUCUCCUUCAGACUUCAUCAAACCUGUGAGUAUCCUCCAACUACCUGAACCCGAAUCUCCAGAUGUUGUUGGUUUCUUACCUAAUGAUCAUCACCCAAGUGACCAUUUACCUAUAGGGGCUGAGUUUGAGAUCAGUCGUGAAUAGAAAGUUUUGUUUCCAUAGCUUCACAAUACAAGUGUUGAAAGACUUGCAUUAGUUUUCUCAACGACUUUAAAGUUACAUUUUUUUUCUGGUUCUUAAAGAAGAUUUGAAUUUUCUAUGGAAAAGAUUUAUUGUCAUGACAUGUUUACAUAUGAUGAUCUCGUGGAAUAAGAUUCCAGCCGAUCAUAAUCUGUUUUAUCUAUCAACCCUUAAGUAUGGUACUGCUGCACAAACUUUUUUUUUACCUAUUGAAACUCAAAAUGAACAUGUUUGAUGUGUGUUUCACCGAACAGUUCAUGGAUCAUAGUCAAAGCUUCUUGAAACAACCCGCAAAAGUUCAUAGCCUUUCUCUAUUAGUCUCGACCUUCUUUCCGGUGGCCUACUUUUACUUCAACACCAAGCAAUCUCACUUACUAUUAACCUUUGAUUGAAUCGUAAAACCCCUCAAAACAUCUCCCAGCCGAGCCAAUAGCUAUCUGAAAAAUCUGGAUUUUUACAAUAAAACCUGCAAUAUGGGCUGACUUGUUGACGGUAAAGGAAGACUGAGAGUCUGAGACCAUUACCUCGAGCUACAGAGGCAAUGUAUUUCCUCGAGCUACAUUGGCAACGUCUUGUCUGUAGCUGUAGGUGAAGCCACCGACAAAAAUCUGGAACAAAACCAUAUGUCAGGGAUAGCAAACAUAAUGCACAAAUGGAUUACUGAACUGACAAUCAAUACUCAUACACAGAUUUGAUACAUUGUAUCGAGAGUCGCCGACCUGGACUGAUGUUAGCUCGGGUGUUUCUCGGACAAGGACCCGCUUUGGUCUUGUCUUCAGGACGACGGAACUGGAGUUUGGACUCGGCGCUCCCUUACUUGGAACUGGCAACCUAGCGCCUGUAAUGAUGGCUCGUGGUCGGUCUCUGCUAUUGUGUGGCCUGAACUCGGAGCAGCUUUAGAGUCUUAACUCGGUUUUUUAAGCCAAUGUCUGCUAAAAUCUUCCAACCACGGACCUGAAAAAAUGAACACAGCUAACAGCAAAACAAUAUGCCCAAAGGAAGAAGCUCUCUUUAUUAUCUGUAAAAUUAUAGUUACAAUGAGACAAACCAAUAGUCUUGAGUAUUCUUUUUUUCACAUUUCCUGCAUCACAUGUUACUUAUGCACGGUAAACAAAAACAAAAUCAGGGAGCUAUUUUGCUGGACUUCAGAUAUUUAAACCUAUGGUCAAAAGUGUUUAAGGCUUCUUCAGAUAUUUCUUGGCUUCUGCAGAGAAGCUUCUUGCGAUUUCUUUAUUGGAGAAUGUUAAAGGAAGCUCUUCAUCAGCAUCAUCAGUCUCUCCUCUGUCUAUCCAGCUAUGAGGUCUACUUGAGUCUUUUGGACUAUCAUCUCCUUCUCUGGAUUCCAUGGGCGAGUUUGGUUCGUCUGGUAACUCGCGAUAUAAGUGUUUAAUUAUGAACAGAGCAGUAUCAUUAUCUCUCCAAUAGUUUCUGCACAAUAUAUAUUACAGUCGUUUGAGUUCUUACUUCCAGACGUAGAUGUAAUGUGUUAUCAAUGAUAAGUUUCACUUACGUAUGAGCUCCUAUGGCUUGUAGAUACGGAUGCUUAAAAGUUUUUUCCUGUAUCACCCAAAGAGUCAAGUCAAUUAAACUAGCAUGCUUAGGCCAAAUCCAACAGAAUAUUAAAAGGCUAUUAAUUAGGUGAUGAUGCAUCAUGAUUUCUUCUACCUGUAGCAUGUGAUCUAUUCGACCAUCUCGAGUUCCAGUCAACCUUUCCAUCAUUAAGGAACCAUAGGACCUUCCAUCCUUUUCGUCAUCGGUUUCUUCAGUCUCUGUUCAAGGAACAUUAGAAAGUAGAUGGAUGGAUUCAUCAACUGUGGAGAUGCCAUUUGGAGCCAUCAUAUGGGAGUGAAAAAAAGAGCAAAUCGAACUUUACCUUCUAGUUCAUCCGAGCUUUUGGAUUGGCAAAUAGUGAGAACUCUUGUCUGCAUGACAAUUAAAGAUGAGGCUUGUGUAUGUUGAAUCGCAAAAGAUUAAAAAAAACUAAGUACAAGUCUGGGAACACACACCCUUACUGAAGCAAAAUGAUUCAUUAAUCUCUGUGAACGCUCUGCAAAAUCCUCUUUGAAAUCCUAUAGAACAUUGCAGCUAACAAAAUUAGAAGAAGCAGGAAACAGGAACACUAAACCAUGAGAUUUUAAUUACCUGGAAUCCAAUAUGCAACCGCUUUCCACCUCUGUGGUAAGGAACAAGAACAGGUCGUUUGGGAAGGUACUCUUUGCAGACAAGUGGCUCCACUCUGCACGCAUGAAACACAAUAACGUAAUAUAGGGAGAGACCAAAAACUAGCUAGAAUACUUUUUUAUUCCUAUGAAGACUAACCUAUACGCAACAGGAUCAUAGGGGUGAAAAAUGUUGAACAUUCGACGACAAGCUGGCAUCUCUUCAAUAACAUUUCCCUCUUCCCAGUAAUCUUUUCCCUUACCUAAGACAUGUUAAACAGCUUUUACAUUUAAAAAAAGAGGAGACUUUAUAAUUCUACUCAACAAGUAUUACCUAUCCCAAGACGUAUAUUUCUAAGGGCAAGGAAGACUCCAAGAGGAGACCCAACUGCAAAGAAAGUGUCAACCUGAUACAGUUAAAAGUUAGGCUGACACAUUUUGCAUUGUGGUUCGAAUGAGAUACAAAAAAUAUUAAUUAUCGCAGACCUUGAACUCGAGCUUUCGGUAUUUGAUAUAAGGAGUAAAGCUAGAAGGUGCAGUGGCAUCUUUAGUUGGCGCCUUCUCGUUGAUGUGCUGUUCAGGUAUCAAAGAUGUCUUGGUUUUUUCUGUUGAUAACACCAUUUCAUCUCGUACCAAACAGGACUUGAAAUAUGGGUAAGAUAAAAGAAAAUCGAGGUUCAGAAAUAAUACCAUCGGUUAUUCUGGCAUUUUCUGAUUUUUUUUUAGUUGUAACACGUUUUUUGUUUCGGCUACCUAACUAAAUUUCCAGUAAAGCUAGAAGGUGCAGUGGCAUCUUUAGUUGGCGCCUUCUCGUUGAUGUGCUGUUCAGGUAUCAAAGAUGUCUUGGUUUUUUCUGUUGAUAACACCAUUUCAUCUCGUACCAAACAGGACUUGAAAUAUGGGUAAGAUAAAAGAAAAUCGAGGUUCAGAAAUAAUACCAUCGGUUAUUCUGGCAUUUUCUGAUUGCAGUUGCGCUACUUUUGACCUCAAUGAUUUAACCUGCGAAUAAAAUCAUUCCACCGAUACGCAAACAAACUGAUCAACAACUUCAACAGAAAAACACAAACCUAAGGAAGUAUGAGAAGCUGUGAACACGAAUGAAAGCUUGCAAGAAUAUAAACUAGGUAAUCUGAACUAAGAAGUUGGAUGUGUCGAUGUUUACCUCUUCCCGUAAUAACUUGAUCAUCUCGUCGUUAUUGGAAUUUUCACAUUUUUUCUCCCAUGAUUGUUCUGGAGAACAGGAUGAAGAAUCAGGCGUUCUACAGUCAGCUCCAUCUGGUCCAUCCUGUGAGGAAAUAGCACUACUAGAAUCAUCAUGAUGGUCAUCUUCCUGGCUCUCUCUUUUUCCCAAACCCACGAUGUCCACUACAGAAUCAGAGACCAACGAAGGACCUUCUUGAAAGACAUCUUGAUGCUCCAACAACGUUGUUUUUUUAUCCAUCAUGUCAUUAUCUUCACCUGUGAUUUCCUCGGUGUUAUUCAACUGGUUAGAUUUAUCUGGCUCAAUUUUUGAUGAUCGAUGCGAACUACAAGGUUCAUCAGCGCUAGCUUGAAUUGGAGGAGAUUCUUCAUCUGGAAAGAAUUUCUUGUAUACUGCAUCCAUUGGAAAUGGGGAUGACAAAUUGUGCUGAUGACAUAAGAUGUCAUAGGAGAGAACACUCCCCAGAGAAUGUCCAUAUAUGGAAAUCUGUAUAAUAAUGUCCAUGAACAGAACAUGAGUUUUUUUAAUUUAAUGGAAGCUUACACUUGUCACAGAUUGAUGAAAUGCAAUAGACUUAUAACCAGAUAGGCACCUUUCCAUCAUAGUCCGGGUUUCUCUUUAUAAAUUUCAGAUACAGUUUAUUGAGCUGGUUUGAGACCUGAAAGAUGUAAACAAGCACAGAUUAUAAUGAUGCAGAAGAUGAUAGUAACAAUGUCUAAUAAGCUAUUAGGCUGUUCAAAAAUUCUAAAACUAAAUCACAAACUAGAUUCAGUUUGGCACUACUAAAACAAAAAGAGUAUCAAAGUUGGGAAAUUGCAAUACCGAAUCAAUAAUAGCCUGACAAUAAAUGGGGCUCAUGUAGUAUAGCACAUCAUGAACAGUUGCACUUAGCAUCUCUCGCAAACGCCGUACACCGUCUAAAGUACAUUUAUCAACAGCAGCUUCACCACUUAGCUUUAAGCCCUUCCUCCACUACACAUAAAAUAUAGAAAGAAAGAAUAUAUGAAGUAAAAUCAUACUAUACAAAGAUAAACCCGAAAGAAGGAUAUAUAUAGAGCUACCUGGCAUGGGAUGAAAAGGACUCUUUGAGUGCCGAGCUGAUGAGAGGUUAGAUGACGUUCCCCUAAACCUGCUGUGAUUUGACGGAAGUUUCCAACGUCGUCAACAAGAUUAGACUUUUCACCUUUUUGGCCAAUACCAUGAACCAUGAAUACAAGAUGUCGAACAGGGACCUGGACAUAAUAGCACACAGUAUGAGAAUUUUGAGAUAUUCUGAAAAUACUUAGACAACAGAGAUCAGAUGCUCUAUAUGCAAUUCACUGGAAACGAGUAUACUAAGACAUACUUGUGAACAAUAGUCAUCCAUUUCUUCCUCCUUUUGUUGGCGUAGUUCUUCCUGAACAGAAGCAAAAUAAAUAUGAUUUCAAUUACAGGAGCUCUUAAUCAGCAACACAAAAAAAUAAAGCUUACUCAGUGAACUUUCACAAUUUCUAAUGAGACCUUAGAAAAGAAAUGUGAGAAUAAGUUGCAAAAUAUUUGUAAGAACCUGUGUAGGUUUAGGAGAGUAGGAGCCGGCAUAACCGCGUCUCAACUUAAUUCCAUUCCCAGUAUAGCCAACAAUGCCAGAGAACCCAGAGGGAUCAACAUUAAGCCAAGCUUCCCAUGUAUUAUCCUCCCCGGUGAAGAGAGCAUGAAGUCCCUACAUUAACAACUUGGGAUCAUAUCAUCUAUGCAAUCCUUCAACUGAAAAAAAAAAAUUACAAUUUUUAUACCCAUGAACUCAAGUACAUACCAGACUGGAACCCUGCAAAUCGACACGAGCUGCAAAUAACCCAGAGGGUUGAAACCUUCUUCUAUGCCAAACCUGCGUGCCAAAACAAAAACCCAAAAAUGUAUUUAUAUUAACAACAUUCAGGAAUUCUCAACAAAAAGGAAAAAGCAGCCACUGUUUCUAGGCCAUAAAAUAAAAACGUAUUGCACAGAAAGAUAGCUAACCUUGUUACGAUAAGAAACCUCCAACUGUUCAGCAACAGUUUCUGGAAUUGGAAGCCAGUCGAGGCCACCUUUAAGAGCAAACCAGUGGCCUCUAAGCACGCGCCGGUUAUCACCAUUCCAGUACACGGGAAAGCAAUGCCUCCUCACCAAGUCCACCUGAAGCAUUCCAAUUCCUUGGUGAGAAACAUUGAUUUGAUACAAGGACACUAACGGGUCAACAAUGUUAAAUUUAUAAGAAAAUUCUAUCUUUAAACCUCUACGGUUUUACCUCGUAUAGGCCACCCUUAACAGGUACACCAACCCUCUCCUCUUCAACUGCAUAUAGAGUAGAGGACACAGAAGCUUCUGAAAGAGUUUCAGUUGGCUGCUUAUUUGAUUUAUUUUUAGGAUUAAGUUGUGGUAUAGGUCCUUGGCUGCACUCUGCAUACUCUUUCCACCAGAGAGACAACAACUCAUCUUCUCUCUAAAGCACAAAUUUUAAACAAAAAUGGUUACAUAUCACAGUUUCAUUCCAAAACUUGAAGCAAAGAACAACAUGUAGAGAAGAAGAAGAAGAACCUGGAGGAAAGAAGCCUCAAUGGCAAGAGAAUCCCUCAUCCCAAAACGGAAGUACUCACUCUUUCCUACUACGUCAGUGCGAGGUACUGAAGCAGCUAACUCUGCACAAAACAAAAUAGAGAAAAAAGCAUCAAUCUCUUAUUCUCAGUGAUCAACUAUGCCCACCAUNNNNNNNNNNNUCCCAAAAUGGAAGUACUCACUCUGUCCUACUACAUCAGUGCCAGGUACUGACGCAGCUAACUCUGCAGAAUAAAUAAAUAAAUAAAUAAAUAAGAUAAAAACUUUUAUGCACACAUAAACAAUGGAAGGCAAAGAAAAGACUGACCGUGUUCAGCCAAAGGAACCUUACAGAAGUACCAGCGAACAUCACUCCCAUCUGAAGGACUUGUGGUCUGAGCGAGAUACUUCUGCCUGCCACGGCAUUGCUCGAUUACGUCUUCUAACCUGGCGAUGUUGGAAGGAGGGUUCUUCAGCAAAUCCGGAGAGGUUGUAUUAACCGCAGGGGUGCGCUCUGUAUCUUCCAUCUCAUCAGAAGAAAAAAACCCUAAAAUCACUAGUCAGGAUCAACAAGAAAGUCUCUGACUGAUUUCGAGAAAUUCUAUCAUAAGAUCGUACCGAAUGAAUAGCGAUCGAUUAUCUUUGACGAAUCACGUGAAGAACUGGCAAGAGAAGGAAGGUUUAGAAUUAAUUCAAAACGAAAAAGGCUGUUUGAAAAGAAAGAAAAAGAAACUAAUAAAAAAGGAGUGACAGCUGGGAAAAUCGAAUUGAAGGUUUGUUUUUGCAAAGAAGACCCCCAAACUUUGCUUAAGCGGGUUGCGCCCACUGUCAUCUCUCAACAAUUGCCACGUGGAUGCCAUGUCAGCAUUCCGCUGCCAAACCCCAUUUAGCUCUACGGGUUUCGAUUUAAGGCCAAGCUCGUUCUUAAACAAAUGUGGCUUAUCAAGUACCAAACGGGUAUGGAGACAUAUAUACAGAAAACACAUAGUGGCUCAUUCUUUAAUAUACUGAGUUCAUGUGAUAAUUAAUGAAUUAUUAAGGGACAAAGUAUGUAGGUCAGAAAUCUCAGUUUAUAUUAAAAAGUUAAUCAAGGUUUACAAGUGCGAGACGAGUUCGAUAUUCGAAUAUAGCUCGCUACCUAAGUAAAUGUUUUGAAACCCCAAAAAUCUCCAUAUAUAUAUAUUUUUCGAACAUUUAUAUUGUUGAACUGUUUUGAUAUUCUAUAUUAUGGAUUUCAAUUUCUUAGCAAACCAACCUUCUCAGCUCUUUAAGGAUUUUACGAAAAUAUCACGGUUUGCAAUUUAACCUUGUAAGAACCGUUCUUCGAACAAGGCUAAUUAAAACGAUCCGAAAAAGAAAUCAAGUACUGAGAACAAAUGUACAAAAUGCUCAAAGAGCUUUAUUUAAACAGAAAUGGAGAUAGCUUAUUAAAGCUUUAUUGAACAAGAAAGUAAAGAGAAGAAGGAAGCUGAGAUUGUCUGCAAGAGUUAAAUGUUUAUAAAACUGAUAUUCAUAAAGAUGAGAGUUUGGCUGCUAGAAACGCAGCCUUGGUUACAUUGCAAAGUGACCUUACACAGAUAUUUAUAUCAACUCAAUAUGCUAGAAAACCUAGAUACAAUGAGCUUAGGUAAUGGGCUUCCGGUCUUUAUUUGGGCCUUGCUAAUACUCCCCCGCAAACUUAGCGUGGAUGGAGCAGCUACGCUGAGUUUGAAGGCACAGAUGGAGAUGGCUUUAGAUGAGCAUAAGUAGAUGAAGUAGGAUGCUUGAGAUGUUGGCAAAUGGUUCUACUCACCAUUGUAGACAAACAUUAGUGUGAGAUCUAUUCAGACCUAUACUUGGAGAGUAUCACAUGGCUUCACUCAGAGGUUUCUCUUGAACUUGGAGAGCUUAGUUGAUCUCACUCAGAGGUAUAAUUGUGGCCUAUUUGUCUCACUAUGAAUCUAGGUUUACUUAAACCAUUUCAUUCUUCUAAUCUGUCUCAUGAAGAACUCUCUUUCCACACCUACCAAAUACAACUAUACUCACUCUCUGCUUCAUUAUCACUAGUCACUAUCAUCUUUUAUCUCUCUGUGACAUUGUACCAAACACUUGGUGCGCAUCAAAAACAGAGACUUUCUUCCAUAAACCCUUUUUUUUUUUUUUUUUUUUUUUUACAGAAAAUCAAACCUAGCGUAAGCAUUCUAUUCCAGAUUCCAAGCCUAUAAUCUAAACCAGCCAGCAUAAAUCACCAAACGACCACACAUGCAUCACUUCUCCUUAAUCUACCAAACGACCAUUCACUUGUUCUGUCUCAGGAAGAAGGACAGAUACAUACCAUUGAUAAACAUAUUUGUGUGAUGACUUCCUCCUUCAGUUCACGUGUGAUUUCGUCGUUGAUUACGGUUUCAUCACGGUUCGUACAGAGGAACGCUUUCGUAGCCGCUGAGUUUUGUCCAUGGAGUCCGACAUAAGCGGGUUGGGUUUGAAGACAUGACUGUUUCUUUCUCACGUUGUAUCUCUGGCCCAUCUGGCCCAAUACCCUUUCUUCUUCAUACAGACAUCUCGUAGGAAGCAAACGAAAGUCUUGGAAGACUUAAUGGCUCCAUAGAGGUCUUGUAGAUAGUCUGAAGCUCAAGUAGAAGAUAUAACACCAAGAUCUACUCCCUGAUGCUCUGAUACCAUGAGAACAAAUGUACAAAAUGCUCAAAGAGCUUUAUUUAAACAGAAAUGGAGAUAGCUUAUUAAAGCUUUAUUGAACAAGAAAGUAAAGAGAAGAAGGAAGCUGAGAUUGUCUGCAAGAGUUAAAUGUUUAUAAAACUGAUAUUCAUAAAGAUGAGAGUUUGGCUGCUAGAAACGCAGCCUUGGUUACAUUGCAAAGUGACCUUACACAGAUAUUUAUAUCAACUCAAUAUGCUAGAAAACCUAGAUACAAUGAGCUUAGGUAAUGGGCUUGCGGUCUUUAUUUGGGCCUUGCUAAUAAGUACGUCAUGGCGAAGAUUUUCACUACAUCUUUUUUUAAGAAUACAAUUUUGAAAUCAGACUCCACAUGUAACUGUUAAUCUUGGUUAAAUAGCUUAUCUGAUAGGUUAAGAUCAAUGAAGAUCAAAAUGAUAGCAAUCAAAAUCAAACUCCCAAAGCUAAAGUUAAUUCGUUAGACAUCAUUUUAUUUUUAUAUAUUAUCAAGUAAAAGAAACAAAAGCAAUAAACUCAGAACACACAUAAGCCCUUGUUUCUUACCCAUUAGUCAACCCAAUGUCCUCCACUAAACCUCUCAAUAAACUUAGCAAAAUCUUAAUGAAAAUUAAAGCUAAUAUAUACUCCUUCUAUAAUUAUCCGUUUUAAAAUUUCCACAUAUAUUAAAAAUACAUUAAAUUUUGACUAUAUUUGUAAGUAACUAUUUUCAUAUUUUUAGCUAAUAGAAUUUUAUUUAUUUAUUUAUUUUUUAAAUCUACAACUUACAAUUAUUUUGUAUAAAAAAAUCUAUUGCAAUUGUAAAAAUGGCUUUUUGCAACAAUUGUUUUCUAAGAUAUAAUUUUUUGAAAUAGAAAGACUAUCAAUAACUGUUUUAAUCACCAGGUAACCUUAACUCCUGCCGUUUCAGUAUUCUUUUUCUUUUGUUUUCGUGUGUUUUUAUAAACUCUUGCAAACUUUCACCCACUCCAUGAAAGCUAGUGCAUGGUUCAUUUGUAUUUGAAUAAUUAAUGCAGUUUAACGAAUGCUAUUGACCAAUAAUCCAUUUAGGUAUAUCUGUAUACUACCUACUGUAUACUCAAAAUCAAAAUAUUUAAAUGUCAUUAAUAAAAUUUAUUAAUUUCUUAUAAAAAUAAAGAUAUUUUUGAGAAAACUCCAAUUUUCAUUUAUGGUAUAAUUUACGAAUAAUAGUAUUGAUUCUUAAUUUUUCUCGUAUUUUAGAAACCAAAAAUAAAUGGCCACACCAGUUAUAGUCCAAAAAUCAUUCAAGUGAAGCCAGACCGACGAAAUUGACUGGUUAUUUAUUACUUAUUUUUAGUUAAAAAGACUUAUCAUGUGAAAUAGACUGAAUUUUCUAAAAGUUAUAUCAUAUGAUUACCUCACGUUGAAAAGGAUCUUCGGCAAAUAGACCAAAGAAAAUGAAGACAAAUUUAUUUUUUAUUGUCCAAUUAUAUCUGUCAUUAAAAUUAUAAUAAACUUUCAUAAAUGGGCAAAUCUCCAAAAUAGCACUUUUCUAAGUUUAUAUCACAAAAAUAGCACGUAAAAACUAAAAUGACCAAAAUAGCAUUUUAUCUUUUAAAAAUUUUAAAUUUUUUUAUUUUUCAAAAUUUGAAAUCUUAUUCCCAAAACCUCACUUCUCAACUCUAAACCCUAAAACCUAAACUCUAAAUCCUAAACCCUAAAUUAUAAACCAUAAACACCACUCCUUGAAUGCUAUUUUUGUGACUUUUAGCCUUGAAUGCUAGUUUGGGAACAAAAACUUGAUUUAAUGCUAUUUUGGUCUUUUUCUCUUCAUAAAUACACUCGAGCUAAAUAAACAAAACAAGACAACCGAGGAUAACAAAGAAAUAAAUAAAGGCAUUUUAAUCGAGAAAAAUUUGAAUUGAAUCUAAAUUUUUUUAUCUAAUAAAUUAUAAUUCCUUUUAUUUUUUUUUUGUCAAUCCUUUUGUUUUAAAAAAAUUAUAAGUAGAAAUGUUUGAGAAUAUUGAGUGUAGUUAGAGAAAUAUUUGAACUGAACUUAAAAUAUUGAUUUAGUAAUUAAUAUUCCUUUUAUUUCUUUUUAUAUAUAUAAGUAGAAGUAGAAAUGCUAAACCGACUCUGUUUUUUUUUUUUGGUAAAUAAUCAGCCGACUGUGUUUAGAAAAAAAUUAGUAAAUGAGUAGGAAAAUAAAGACCACUCAUAAAGAAAAGAAAGUGUUGAACCGAAAGAGUUGAGUAGCUUCAUCUUUCAUCUCCACUAUAAUUUAUAUUCCAUUGUCGUUACCUUUUGGUGUUUUGCCGACUGUUACCUGUAAAAGGAGUUAAGGAUCCAUGUCCAAAACUGCCGACUCUCUCUCUCUCUCUCUCUAAUUCAGAAACUCCAACUACCCCUCUUUUGAUUUGGCUUUCUCUCUCGAUCUAGUGAAAAAACCGACUUGAGCAAGGAGUAAAAAAAAAACAAAGAGCGCGACUUUUCAGCCAUGGAAGCCAUAAGAAAGCAAGCGGCAAAGCUCAGAGAGCAAGUUGCUAGGCAACAGCAAGUGGGUUUCUUUCCCUUUUUACUUUUUUUUUGUGUUCUUAAUUUAUUCAGGAGACAAAUCUGGAAAAAAAUGAUUAUGUGGGUUUCAAUAAAGGUGGAAUCUUGGAAGUGCUCAUGUUUUAUUUUUAAUAGUCUUAGGGGGCAGAAGAUAGGAUUGACUGACGUAUUGAAUUGGUAGACUUUUGCUUGUUUUAGAAUCAAGAUUACGUUAUCUUUUCAGACAAGAUUUGUGUAGGGUUUUUCUGUCUUGUAUAAUGUUCCGGUUAUUGUUCAGGCGGUGUUGAAGCAUUUAGGGCAUGUUAACGCGGAUGCUGUGGUUGUUGAUGAAGAAGAGCUUCAUUGUCAUCAGAAACUCCAAGAACUAUACAGCUCCACCAAGGCUGCAAAGGUAAAAAUGAUAAUCUUUAGUAUUUUUCAAGGGAGAUUUUUUUUUUUUUUUUCUUAAAGAAAUCUAAUUAGUUUGUUAUGUUCACAGCGUUUGCAAAGGAACAUUGUUCGUGGGCUAGAAGGGUUCAUUGCGACAGGCACGAAAGUUGUAGAGAUAGGUGAGUUCUUGUUUCUUACUCUGGUCUCAUUUAUAUACUUCUUGGGAUCAGAUUUAGGAAUGUUGUAUCCGUAAUAGGGUUGAAGUUUGCUGAAGAUUUUAAGAAAUAUGGAGAUGAGAAUCCCGAUGCUAACACUCCUCUCUCAAGAGUUUCACAUCACUUUGGGACCUCUUACAAGUCGGUGGAGGAUGGCAGGGAAACUCUACUUGGAGUUCUUAGUGAGCAGGUACAUCUUUUGGAACAUUUCCUUUUCAAUUAUAUAGUUUCAUUUUUUAAUAAAGCUUCAGGAUUUGAUUUGGUUAGGUUUGUGAGCCAAUUCGUACAAUGAUAUAUAGUGCGCCUUUGGAGGAUGCAAGGCAUUUAGUGAAUCAUUACGACAGGUUGAGGCAAGAAGUCGAAGCACAGGUAAAUAGUCUCUUUUUUUUGGGUCAAUUUGUAAAUUUUAAAAAACCAUUUAUUGUCUUGAAUAGGCGACUGAUGUACUGAGGAGAAGAUCAAAGUUGAAGGAAUCUGAUGUUUCUGAAGAGGCUUACAUGAAGCUUAAGAACUCUGAGUCGAGAUUGGCUGAUCUCAAAUCAAGCAUGAAAACACUUGGAAAAGAAGCUACUAAGGCUAUGUUAGAAGUGGACAAUCAGCAGCAGAGCGUAACUUAUCAGCGCCUCCGUACCCUGGUAAAAUCUCCACUUGAUGAUUGUUUGUUUUACUGGUUGGUCCCUGGAUUGGAUAUGAAAAUGAAAUUUACCAACUGCAGGUUGAAGCUGAGAUAUCAUAUCAUCGUAAUGCUCUUGAUAUCCUUGAUAAGCUACAUUCUGAGGUCAGUAACUCUCUCUCUCUAUGAUAAACUACUUGAGAUAAUGAAUAGAACAUACUGAUUUUGGAUGUCUUCCAUGUUCUCAGAUGAUUGCUGAGGAAGAAGCUAUAGAAUCAUCACCAAAGUCUCUACCUCUACCUUUACAUUUGGAGGAUACUGUUUCACAUCCCCAAGCCAGUCACAGUGGAGAGAUCAAAUCAAACCACCAAGGAGAAACCAAGCAUACUACUCCCCAUGAAGAAGUAACCAAACCCAAUCCAAAGGAAGACAUGGAGUCUAGUCCCGAAGUAGAAAUUAAAUCCAAACCUCAGAAAGAAAUCAAGUCUUCUGGUCCACAGGAAGAUACCAAAACCUCCAAUGGAUCUGAUGAUCAUCACAGUCAUCAGCAACUUCUCAGUCAAAAUGAUUCCUACUUUCUUGCAAAGGUAAUACUCUUUUCGAAACAGUUCUUCCGAACUCGGUCAACAACAAGAGUUAUGUUUUCUUGUUUUUUUUUGGGACAGGUUGUGCACCCGUUUGAUGCUCAAGCGCCAGGAGAACUGAGUCUAGCGGUUGAUGAUUAUGUCAUCGUGCGACAGGUACACCCUUUCCUAAACAAUGCAAAACAGAGAAAGGUCGGUCUAAUGAUUCUGGUUGUGUUUCAGGUGGCUGGGACAGGGUGGUCGGAAGGAGAAUACAAGGGGAAAGCCGGAUGGUUUCCGUCGGCGUACGUGGAGAAACAAGAGAAAGCUCCUGCGAGCAAGAUUGUGGAAGCAAACCUUAACCAGCAAUGAUCUCACCCUCGAUAAUGUAUGAUAUGUUUGAUGUUUCCACGAGUACAUACGUAUGAUCAUUAUGUGUGUUGUUUCUUCCUUGUUUAUGUAUCAUCACAAGUCUUACUACUCUUCUUGGAGUCGUUUUCUCCUAUCUUAACGUUUGUUUGAUGGGUUCUCUGUUUCUUCUGUAAUAUUUACUCUCAAAAUGAUAAUGAUAUCUUCUUCCUUCUUAAUUUGGUUUUUGUCUUCGUAUCUCUUCUUGUUUUUCUUACCGCGCCUUAGAUCAUCUAAGUUAGAUGUAACCAGUUCCAGAUAUGGUUUGAAUUAUCUCUGGGUUUAAUAACCGAACCAAAUUUUGGGUUUUUGAUUCAGAAUCAGAUUCGGUUUUUUGCUCGAAAAGCUUUUUUUUUUCGGUUCAGUUCAAUAGCCGGUUAAGUUAGUUUUCAAAAUAAAUUUGUUUUGCCAAACUCUCGAACAUAAAUAACCAAGUAACCGAAUUGAACUGAAAUUUUGUAUUCAGUAACACCCCCAAUAAGUUUAUAACAAGUUCAAACCAAAAUCUAAUCAAAAUCGAAUCCAACCGAACCGAAUCAUUUUCGUUUUAGGUGAUGAUUGUUUAUAUAGUUUUUGGAUUUUAGUUUUUGGUUUUUAGAUUUUGGUUUUUAGUUUUUAGAUUUUGGUUUUUAGUCUUUGGUUUUUGAUUUUGCUGUAGAUAUUAGAUUUUCUAAAAACUUGAAUGGUAACAUUAGAUUUUGGUUUUUGUUUUUAAAAGUAAAAUAAAUUAUUAAAAAUAUUUAUUUUGAAAACCGUGAAAAUACAAAUGUUAUUAUUAUCACUAAAAAUAAACAAACUUAUAUUAAUAUUUUAUUUCAAAAAUAUAUUAUUAAACAAAAACUAAUAGCUAAAUUUUAAAAUACAUUUAAUUUUAUAUCUUGAGAAAAAUAUACAAUUAACUAAACUUUAAAACAAACUAUUAAAUUUAAGUUGUAUUUAAAAAAUAUGGUCAAACUAAUAGAAUUUAUGCAACUUAAAUAUUGCAACAUAAAUAGUAAUAACUGAAUUUUCAAAUUACAUGUCUAAAGUGUUGAUUAAUAAGUUGGACUAUUAUUCAUUUAUUUUUUUGAUAUUAGUUAGUUUCAGUUAUGUCACUAUCUAUUAAAUAAAACUGUAAUAAAGCAAAAAAAUAAAAAAGUCAUCGUACAACAUUUUUACAAAACUGAAAAAUGAUAGAUUUUGGGUUUUGUGUACAAAUGGAUAGUUUUUUCAAAAACUAGUUUCCCUAAACUUUAGGUAAUCCAUUUUCUCAAAAUUUUGAUUGGUUAAAAAAGUAGUUUUUGAAAAACAAAAACCAAAAACUAGAGGCCUAGUUUGAAUAAUCUAGAGGUGACGAUGGGUCCUGUACAAACUCCAUCACUCAUAGCAUACAACAAGAUGCUCAAAUCUUUAGCCGACACUAAAACCUUCACCAAAGUCUUGGCUCUGUUCUCUGAACUGCGACGAAACGCCUUGUAUCCGGACAAUUUCACUUUACCGAUUGUGCUCAAAUCAAUCGGACGCUUGAGGAACGUUUUAGAAGGUGAGAAACUCCAUGGCUACGCUGUGAAAUCUGGGCUUAAGCUCGAUCCCUACGUGUGCAACUCACUUAUGGGAAUGUAUGCUGCGUUGGGGAAGAUGGAGAUCACUCACAAGGUGUUCGACGAAAUGCCUGAACGAGAUGUUGUUUCUUGGAACGGCUUGAUUUCUAGCUACGUUGGGCACGGGAGGUUUGAUGAUGCCGUUGCUGUUUUUAAGCGGAUGAGUAAAGAGAGUAACUUGAAGCCUGAUGAGAGUACCAUCGUGAGCACUCUCUCGGCUUGUUCUUCUUUGAAGAAUUUGGAAGUUGGUGAAGGGAUUCACAGAUAUGUUGUUGGCACUGAGUUUGAAACGAGUGUUAAGAUUGGGAAUGCGUUGGUGGAUUUGUUCUGUAAAUGCGGGUGUCUAGAUAAGGCCAGAGCUGUUUUCGAUUCGAUGAAAGGGAAAAAUGUCAAGUGUUGGACUAGUAUGGUCUCUGGGUAUGUUAGUAACGGUAGGAUCGAUGAGGGUAGAGAGUUGUUUGAGAGAAGUCCUGCGAAAGAUGUUGUUCUGUGGACAGCUAUGAUGAAUGGGUAUGUUCAGUUUAACCGGUUUGACGAAGCACUCGAGCUGUUCAGGUGCAUGCAAAGCCAAGGUGUUAGCCCUGAUAACUUCGUGCUCGUCUCUCUCUUGAAAGGCUGUGCGCAGACGGGAGCUCUAGAGCAAGGGAAGUGGAUCCAUGGGUACAUAUGUGAGAACGGAGUUAGAGUAGAUAAAGUAGUUGGUACUGCUCUUGUGGACAUGUAUGCUAAAUGUGGGUGCAUAGAGACAGCUCUAGAGGUUUUCUAUGAAACUAAAGAGAGAGACACUGCUUCUUGGACAUCGCUUAUCUACGGUCUUGCCAUGAACGGGAUGUCAAGGAGAGCGAUGGACUUGUACUACGACAUGGAAAGGGUUGGCGUCAGAUUAGAUGAUAUAACCUUUGUCGCGGUUUUAACAGCCUGUAAUCACGGUGGAUUUGUAGGAGAAGGACGUAGAGUUUUCUAUUCGAUGGUCCAGCCUAAAACAGAGCACUAUAGCUGUAUGAUUGAUCUACUAUGUAGAGCUGGUAGUUUAGAUGAAGCAGAGGAAUUGAUAGAUAAGAUGAGAAAUGAAAGCAAUGAAACUUUGGUUCCUGUAUACUGCUCUUUGCUAAGCGCUGCUCGGAACUAUGGAAAUUUGGAGGUAGCAGAACGGGUAGCUGAGAAGCUGAAGGAAGUGGAAGUUAGUGAUUCAAGUGCUCAUACUCUGCUCGCAAGUGUAUACGCAUCUGCAAAUAGAUGGCAAGAUGUGACGAAUGUGAGAAGGAGAAUGAAAGAUUUGGGAAUCAGAAAGUUUCCUGGAUGCAGCUCUGUGGAGAUUGAUGGGGUGCCUCAUGAAUUCAUUGUUGGAGAUAAAUCAUCAUCAUCAUCAUCAUCAUCAUCUCACCCAAAAAUGGAUGAGAUUAAUACAAUGCUUGCAUCAAACUACAAAUUGGAUGUUGAGUUUGGAACAUGAAGUAAUUGAAAGUUAACACUUUUUUGGUGUUAGAUAACUUCUUAGUCAACCUAUAGCAAAAGCUGAUCUUUCACAAUAUUGAAAAGGGAUCUCAUUAGCAUAUACCCAACCAACAACGUUAAGGCCUUUCUCAAUGAAAGAAGGGCAUCAAAUGGUCGUUUCCCAUUCAAAAACGAGAACCCCAAAACUGUAUAUGUGAUGCGAGUUUGGUCUACCGCUUUAAUAGAUUCUGAUGAUCCCAUUCCUAUGUGUAUAUUCAAGUAAGAAACAAACUCCACAUCACAAAGGGAAAUAACUACUUUUUAUAGAAAAAAAAAAUCAGAUUACGAUUCUUGUGAAGUUCAAGAACAAGUGUACGUACUUAAAUUCAUACAUUAGCUAUAGGCCAAGCCAAACCGCACUAAACCGGUCGAGGUUAUCUUCAUAAAUAGCUCGAUUAUCUCCGCCAGUAAACUCUUUACAAUCCGUUACAGAGUGGCCUCGACUCGGAAACUGUAGCAGGUGAGGAGGAGGAUCAUGGAGUUGUAAAUGAAGAUGAAGAGAGAAGAUGUAAAGCUUACAAAGCUAAAGUGUAUUCUCUGACUGUGCCGUUAAAUGUUCUGAGCAAUUUUCAUCAUCAUUUGCAUCUUAGCUUAUAUAGUUGAAUUCAGGAGUUCAUGAGCUCAGUCACAAGGGAAGAGAGUAAGGUUAAAGACCAGGUGUCUACAUUUUGUUCGAAGCCUAGUAGUAAAAGAAACAAGGGUUCUGCUUCAACUGCAUCAGCAGAUCGGUGAUUCUUGUCGCAAUUAAGGAGAAGCUGAUUGAGCCAAUGAAAGGGAUAGAAGAUCUAGUCUAGUAUAAAGGCUUGAAUGAUAAAUGGAAGGCGAGUCUUAAAAUCAGUGGUUUAACAUAUGAACAUCAGUUUAAAAGUACAGGACAUUUAAACUACUCCAAGAUUAAGAAAACUCAAAAAAAAAAGUGGAAAAAAGAAUCAUUGGUAUGAUAAUCACUUGGAAAAUAAGGUGCAAGUGUAUAUCGAUUAAGCAUCCCUUAAACGCCAAUUCGUAGUACAUAGUUAAUGCAUAAAGAAUGGUGUAUUACCGGUUUGCCGACGACCUGAAAUUUUUCCAAACCGGAUUCAUCAAGCUUCUUCUUCUUCGCUGCUCUCUAACAAAACAACAUUCUUCUGUGUCUUAGCUCUUUUACUUGAUCUGCUUUUACAUGUAUCUUCCUUUGUUCCAUCUUCAACAAGUUGUUCAGAGACCGUAUCAUGUCUCAUCACUUCUAGAAUCUUGUCACCGUACUUGUCUGUUUUCAGUUUUCCUAUUAUGCUCUCCAACUGCAAAAAUUCAACCAAUAAAGCAGCUUUAACAGAGAGGAUUUGAUUAUAUAUACAAAGACCAAAGAAAAUCGGGGUUAUGUAAAAAAAAAAGAUAGCUCACCUCUUGUAAUGAAUCUGGUUUUUGGGAACUUAUCAACCCAAUCUGCUGAGUUGAGAGGACAGUGUGAGGGAGCAUGCUUCCAUGAGCUGCAGAUAUCUCUUUCCUUAGCUCGUCAAGCUUGGAUUCUAAUCCAGAAAAUGAACUACUUCUUUUCGAUUUCUUGUUUAUUUGUCUGCUUGAGGUUUCCGUUUUGAUCGUCUUUCUUCCUGUUCCAGAUCACAUGUAGGACAAGUUUUCUUUCAGGAGUUUUAUCUAUGAGUGCCGAGCGACCAAGUAAUGACCAAAACAUUAAUAUAUUCUUCUAAGACUGUUUUUUUAUGACUUCUAUUCAGAUCCUGAAGCCUAUAGAUGAAGGCAAAUUCAUUACAACUCCUUACCUUGCAACAAUUGGUUUGCCAACGGUCCCGUUGUUACAUAAGCGUUUGUCGAGUAUGGUGUGUGCUGGAAUUCUUCUUUCUGCACAAAAACAGAACAAAACUCAGAUACAGCUGUCUUGAGCUGGCUUAUCAUGUGUCAGAUACAAUCUGACAGAAAACAUGGACAACGAUCUUACCAAUACCGAGUCAACAAUCAGUUUUAUCACGAGAUGUUCUAUCUCUUCUCUCUUUAGCUCAGCACCUAGCCGAUCAACAACAACCAAAAAAAAUCAUAGAGCGAGAGAUUAAGGCAUUAAAUAUCGUUUGCAAUUCAAAGUAAUGAAAUGAAACUAACUUAGAUCCUUAUGCUUAGUUCUCAGUUUGUCACCCAGCUGCAACAUUGUCACUCUUUGAUCCUUAGCUUGCAUUUCUUGCACCAUAGAAACCACGAGCUUAGCUAGGUCUGCAAAAUGUCGUGACCCCAAAAACUCAUCAUGAUAUCAUUCACAUAUUGGCAGAUACUUGCUUAUAAAAUUACUAGAGAAAAACUUUUGGCAGCAAAAAAACAAAGGUUUCAAGCUUAUUUCAAACAAGAAUGAUGUCCAAAGAAACUACAUGCGAAUGUAAGUGGGACAUACAUACCCGAUACAUCAACUUCCUUGACCUCACUUGACAAGGCACAGUUGUCGCACAUUCCUAACAUAAUGCAGAAUAACGAUCAUCACAUAUCAAUGGACGUUGUACCAAUUCUAUCAAUAGUGGCCAGCUAUAAACAAGAAUACCGUUGCAAUCUUGUGACGGCUCUCCAAAAUGACGGAAAAAAGCACUUCGACGACAUUUUGUUUUCGACUGCAACAAGGGAAUUCAGAAACGAUAGUUCAUAAGAUAUCAUACAUUUUAGAACAUUUCAAAAUCACGACCCUUAAAGCCACCAAAAGAAAACAAUUCAAGUCACUCCAGAGCGGCCUCGUUAUCAAGUUUUCUCCAGAUAUUACAUGAAUAACGAUAAUGCAAUCUUCAAGAAGUAAGAAGUGAAACUGGGUACCUGACAGUAUCGUACUAUAUCGUAGAGAUUCUGCAGACCAGAAUACUCGUAGAAGACCAUGGAACUCUGUUGUACAAGAAACAAAAGCAUCAAUGCAAUUUUAGAAAUGUUUUUAUCACAAAUAAGCAGGUUAGAGUAAAUUGAUGCUUACCUGCCUGGGAACAUCACCCGAACGGAAAAAGAGGACGCACUCAGAUGGGAGGCCAUCACGACCAGCACGACCACUCUCCUGCAGUAUAAAGUAAUGGUGAUAAGAAGCAACCUCAUAACCACAUCUAGUUUUAGUGGACAAGUGACUAGAACCUGAUAGUAAGUCUCCAUUGAUUUGCUUAAACUGUGGUGGAUAACAAACCUGACUACAAAAAUGCCCCCAUGUAUCAGUUGGAAAAGGAAAUAAAAUCCGUGAUUUACAAAAUGUGAAGGACGGUGAUCAAAGCUUAGCACUACUAACCAUCAGGUUUGUUGAUUCCCAUGCCGAAGGCAACCUGCCAAGCAAUAAUAAGAGUUGAUAGGUGUACAUCACAAAAAUAAUCGAAUGAUAAGAGGAGGAAUAUACAUACUGUUCCAACAAUGACCUGCAACUUGUUCUUACUCCAUCUGUGAACAUAAAAGAACAACCAUAAUUAGGCAACGCUGCAAAUUGCACAUCACUAACUGAAUCAUUAAGCCCAGAGUCAUGCUUCAUCAGAGCUGGACGACCUUACCGCAUAUGAACUUUUUCUCGCAUAUUUACAUCCAUUUCUGCGUGGUAAUAAUCAGCAGAUAUCCCUCUUUCUCGUAGUUCUCCUGCAAUCUAUCACCAUUUAUUAUAAGUGAAAUAUAAAAGCUUUCCUCCCCAAUCCAAGGUUCAUAAUAUUAACAAUGAUGGUGAGGUCAGAACAUAUGAUGAUGGGUCAAUUGUAGUUGCAAACCUGUUCACACUCCUUCCGAGAGAAACAAUACACUAUUCCAGAUUCAUUGUUAGAAUAUGAUUCUCGUAUGAACUCUGCGAUCUCAUCAACCACAGCUUUACCAACCAGCGACUUUUCUCGCACCUGCAAGACAAUUUAUUGCUCAAGUUAAAGCCUACAAACUAUCAACAGCAUGAGAAUCGUCUACUAAAAAAAUUACUAAAAGAGUACCGAGUAAAAGAGAUUUGGCCUGUUAACACUGCUAACAAAUUUGACGCAUUUAGGAAUAUGCAGCAUCUCUAUCAGAUCAUUUUGGACCUUCUGUGUAGCAGUUGCCUGCAUCAGAGACAUAGUAAAAAAUGAAAUAUUCAACCUUCCAAAACAUAAUAUAUAUAUAUAUAUGAAAGGUGGGAGAGAUCAACUUAGAAUAAAAUUGUUACAUUCUGAUAAGCAUAGUAAGGUGGAACAAGCUCCCAGUGUUGACUGAUUUAAACUCUCUCUCAGGAAUGUAAAGAGGGCUGAGAAAGAAUGCAGCAAAUGAAAAGAAGAAAAAGAACGUACGGUUAAAGCCACCAUGGGAACUUUGGGAAACUGAGUUUUAAGAAUGCUCAAGUUCUUGUAAUCAGGCCGAAAAUCGUGACCCCACUGACUACAACAAUGAGCCUCCUGCAAAUAAAGUAGGAAAUUAAACAAUCAAAUAUUGGUUACAAAGUAAGAAAUUAAAAGCAGGUUAGGACUUACAUCAAUUGAAAUAAGAGAGAGGCGACCAGCAUUGUGACACUUUUCAAGCUUCGACAUGAAUCUUUUACUCUUUGAUACCUUUUCAGGUGUCACAUAAAGUAUCUUGAGGUCAUCUUCACCCUUUUCAAGUGCCUUGUACACAAACUUCUCAUUCUCCUUGCCAGAAGUAGAAGUCAGCAUGUAAGCUGAAAUCCCUAGAGCCGCCAAACCCAUAACCUGAACCAAUCAUUAACAAUAAGUAAACUAAACACUUGUAAUCACUCAAUAUAUAAAGAAGUAGUUUGAAGUUAAUAGUUGUGUACCUGAUCCUGAAUGAGUGAAAGUAAAGGGCUGACAACAAGAGUUGUGCCACCACGAAGUAUAGCAGGAAGCUGAUAGCAAAGACUCUUCCCACCACCUGCUGCCAUGAUCACCAGAACAUCCCUACCAGCCAUUAUAGCGUUAACUAUCUGUCGUGUCAUCCAAGGAAACAGGAUUGAAACGUCAUCAUUGUGUUGCUUUCUUGAAAGACAUAAAGCAAAUGCAGAAGCAAAUGCAAAAGCAACUUACUUCUCUCUGGUUAGCUCUGUAUUUGGAUAUGCCAAAAAUGUUAAACCUAAUGUCAUCAGCGCGUGAGUCCCACUCGAAUGACUCGGACCAAUUCUCCACAGCACUCGAGCCAUCAGGACAAGAAGGUGCGACAGGUGUUACUGAAGCUGAAACUGCUUUUAACAAUGUCUUAAGCUCAGACUUUCUCUCGUACAACCUGUCUUGAUGCUCUAUCAAAGCACUUAUCUGACCUAUAACAAUAAUUCGAAUUCAAAAUCAGAAGCAACCUGAGAUGUAAAUUGGAAGAAGGGACAAGUGUAAACCUUGAACAUCGUUGAUCUCGAGCUCUAAGCUUUGAAGCUCGUCCUGAAUCGCUUCACUUUCCAUUGGUUCACCGGCUUAAUCAACGGUGUGUGUGUUUUUUACCCUUCCGUCGUCGGCGUCGCGGCUCAUUAGAAAGAGGUGAAGCAGAAUAUAUUGGGCCUUAUAAGGGCUGACGUUUUAUAAUGGGCUUUUAAUGGCCCAGUAUGUUCUUGGAUCAUUCGUUUUUUCGGAUAUUUUUUUUUUUUUAACAUCUGAUUAAUUAUGCUAUUAUAACAAUGAGAAAUAUUACAUAGACGAUUUUACAGCCGACAAUUCUACCAUCAUAUGAGAAUGUAAGUUUGACUGCAUCGCUCCAAGCCGCUCUAUGAAAUCCAUGUUCUAUGAUACGCCCUUGCACUAUGAUGAAGACCUCUUACAACUUUUUUUUCUCUAUGAUCUGUAUAAUUUGCGUUUUCUGGGAUUUGAACCCCAGACUUCCUGCUGUAAAAGCAUUAAUGAACCUUUAGUCAAACUAAUGAACUAAAGAGGCUUCCACAAUUUUUUCGGGUCAUUUUGUGUGUGUGUGUGUGUUUUUUUUUUGGGGGAAAAUUUUUGUGGGGGGGGGGGGGGCAUGUGAAUUAACUCUGGUUAAUUUAGGUGAAUCAAAGGUAUUUUUUUGGUACAUAGUCCAAAUUGAAGGACGUUAGAUCUAUUAAAAUUGAAGUACAUGUUGGAAUUACCCUCAAUUAGCUCUAAGUAUUACAAGUCUAUGCCACUGUCCUAAACCAUGUUUAACCACUACAAAAAAAUACAACUAUAGCGACGAAAAUUAACGAGAAAAUUUAAUCUUCGUAAAUUUAUGUCGACUUUACGAGUAUCGUACGAGGAAAUUUAAAAUCAACGUUAGUUCGUCGUAAAAUAUCGACGAAAUGAUUUCCUCGUAAAAACGACGUAACAUAACGUGGCUUUUACGAGGAAAAAUGGUUUCCUCGUAAACUCAACGUAACAAUAGCGUCUACUUUACGAGGAAAUAUUUUACGUUUACUUAACGAUAAAAUUUCGAGUUCACCAAUUUUGUAGUUGUAACACGUUUUUUUGUUUCGGCUACCUAACUAAAUUUCGUCGUAAAUUUCAACUACCAGAUUCAAAAAUUUCCUAUAAAUAUGGACAUUUGAACAUCAUUUUAAAUACACCAACAAGAAAAAAUAAAUAAAAAAAAGUGAAAGAAAAAAAAAUGUCGGGCUCCGGAAAUAUUUUCGAGAUACGGAGGUGGAUGUAUAACAGGAGAGUGACAAAAGAAUACCUCGAAGGGCUGGAGACAUUUAUGCAUCAAGCAGAUUCCACACCGCUCGCCCAAGAAAGCGGUAAGAUGUUAUGUCCUUGUCGGAAAUGCAAUAAUUUGAAAUUGGCAAAUCGUGAAAAUGUUUGGAAGCAUUUAAUAAAUAGAGGUUUCACGCCAAAUUAUUAUAUCUGAUUUCAACAUGGAGAAGGUUAUAAUUAUGAGAAUUAAGCUAGUAGUAGUAAUAGCAAUUUUAAGGAAGAACCGAUUGAUCAUCAUUUGCAUAAUGAACAUAGUUAUCAUCAGAAGGAGCAGAUGGUAGAUUAUGAUAGGGUUCAUGAUAUGGUAGCUGAUGCAUACGUAGCGGAUGAUGAAGAAGAAGAACCUAACAUAGAUGCAAAAACGUUUUAUGAAAUGUUAGAUGCUGCGAAUCAGCCACUUUACAGUGGUUGUAGAGAAGGUCUCUUUAAAUUAUCGUUGGCUGCUAGAAUGAUGAAUAUUAAAACUAAUCAUAAUAUACCUGAAAGUUCCAUGAAUGAAUGGACAUGUGAAUAAAAUCAAAUCAUAACUCUGGUUAAUUUAGGUGAAUCAAAGGUAUUUUUUGGUACAUAGUCCAAGUCGAAGGACGUUAGAUCUAUUAAAACUGAAGUACAUGAUGGAAUUACCCUCAAUUAGCUCUAAGUAUUACAAGUCUAUGCCACUGUCCUAAACCAUGUUUAACCACUACAAAAGAACACAACUAUAGCGACAAAAAUUAACGAGAAAAUUUAAUCUUCGUAAAUUUAUGUCGACUUUACGAGUAUCGUACGAGGAAAUUUAAAAUCAACGUUAGUUCGUCGUAAAAUAUCGACGAAACGAUUUUCUCGUAAAAACGACGUAACAUAACGUGGUUUUUACUAGGAAAAAUGGUUUCCUCGUAAACUCAACGUAACAAUAGCGUCUACUUUACGAGGAAAUAUUUUACGUUUACUUAACGAUAAAAUUUCGAGUUCACCAAUUUUGUAGUUGUAACACGUUUUUUUGUUUCGGCUACCUAACUAAAUUUCGUCGUAAAUUUCAACUACCAGAUUCAAAAAUUUCCUAUAAAUAUGGACAUUUGAACAUCAUUUUAAAUACACCAACAAGAAAAAAAAUAAAAAAAAAGUGAAAGAAAAAAAAUGUCGGGCUCCGGAAAUAUUUUCGAGAUGCAGAGGUGGAUGUAUAUGCAUAGAGAUGCUAACAGGAGAGUGACGAAAGAAUACCUCGAAGGGCUGGAGACAUUUAUGCAUCAAGCAGAUUCCACACCGCUCGCCUAAGAAAGCGGUAAGAUGUUCUGUCCUUGUCGGAAAUGCAAUAAUUUGAAAUUGGCAAAUCGUGAAAAUGUUUGGAAGCAUUUAAUAAAUAGAGGUUUCACGCCAAAUUAUUAUAUCUGAUUUCAACAUGGAGAAGGUUAUAAUUAUGAGAAUUAAGCUAGUAGUAGUAAUAGCAAUUUUAAGGAAGAACCGAUUGAUCAUCAUUUGCAUAAUGAACAUAGUUAUCAUCAGAAGGAGCAGAUGGUAGAUUAUGAUAGGGUUCAUGAUAUGGUAGCUGAUGCAUACGUAGCGGAUGAUGAAGAAGAAGAACCUAACAUAGAUGCAAAAACGUUUUAUGAAAUGUUAGAUGCUGCGAAUCAGCCACUUUACAGUGGUUGUAGAGAAGGUCUCUUUAAAUUAUCGUUGGCUGCUAGAAUGAUGAAUAUUAAAACUAAUCAUAAUAUACCUGAAAGUUCCAUGAAUGAAUGGACAUGUGAAUAAAAUCAAAUCAUAACUCUGGUUAAUUUAGGUGAAUCAAAGGUAUUUUUUGGUACAUAGUCCAAGUCGAAGGACGUUAGAUCUAUUAAAACUGAAGUACAUGAUGGAAUUACCCUCAAUUAGCUCUAAGUAUUACAAGUCUAUGCCACUGUCCUAAACCAUGUUUAACCACUACAAAAGAACACAACUAUAGCGACAAAAAUUAACGAGAAAAUUUAAUCUUCGUAAAUUUAUGUCGACUUUACGAGUAUCGUACGAGGAAAUUUAAAAUCAACGUUAGUUCGUCGUAAAAUAUCGACGAAACGAUUUUCUCGUAAAAACGACGUAACAUAACGUGGUUUUUACUAGGAAAAAUGGUUUCCUCGUAAACUCAACGUAACAAUAGCGUCUACUUUACGAGGAAAUAUUUUACGUUUACUUAACGAUAAAAUUUCGAGUUCACCAAUUUUGUAGUUGUAACACGUUUUUUUGUUUCGGCUACCUAACUAAAUUUCGUCGUAAAUUUCAACUACCAGAUUCAAAAAUUUCCUAUAAAUAUGGACAUUUGAACAUCAUUUUAAAUACACCAACAAGAAAAAAAAUAAAAAAAAAGUGAAAGAAAAAAAAUGUCGGGCUCCGGAAAUAUUUUCGAGAUGCAGAGGUGGAUGUAUAUGCAUAGAGAUGCUAACAGGAGAGUGACGAAAGAAUACCUCGAAGGGCUGGAGACAUUUAUGCAUCAAGCAGAUUCCACACCGCUCGCCUAAGAAAGCGGUAAGAUGUUCUGUCAUUGUCGGAAAUGCAAUAAUUUGAAAUUGGCAAAUCGUGAAAAUGUUUGGAAGCAUUUAAUAAAUAGAGGUUUCACGCCAAAUUAUUAUAUCUGGUUUCAACAUGGAGAAGGUUAUAAUUAUGAGAAUUAAGCUAGUAGUAGUAAUAGCAAUUUUCAGGAAGAACCGAUUGAUCAUCAUUUGCAUAAUGAACAUAGUUAUCAUCAGAAGGAGCAGAUGGUAGAUUAUGAUAGAGUUCAUGAUAUGGUAGCUGAUGCAUACGUAGCACAUGAUGAAGAUGAAGAACCUAACAUAGAUGCAAAAAAGUUUUAUGAAAUGUUAGAUGCUGCGAAUUAGCCACUUUACAGUGGUUGUAGAAAAGGUCUCUUUAAAUUAUCGUUGGCUGCUAGAAUGAUGAAUAUUAAAACUAAUCACAAUAUACCUGAAAGUUCCAUGAAUGAAUGGGCAUGUGAAUAAAAUCAAAUCAUAACUCUGGUUAAUUUAGGUGAAUCAAAUGUAUUUUUUGGUACAAUAGUCCAAGUCGAAGGACGUUAGAUCUCUUAAAACUGAAGUACAUGUUGGAAUUACCCUCAAUUAGCUCCAAGUAUUACAAGUCUAUGCCAUUGUCCUAAACCAUGUUUAACCACUACAAAAAAAACAACUAUAGCGACAAAAAUUAACGAGAAAAUUUAAUCUUCGUAAAUUUAUGUCGACUUUAAGAGUAUCGUACGAGGAAAUUUAAAAUCAACGUUAGUUCGAUGUAAAAUAUCGACGAAACGAUUUCCUCGUAAAAACGACGUAACAUAACGUGGUUUUUACGAGGAAAAAUGGUUUCCUCGUAAACUCAACGUAACAAUAGCGUCUACUUUACGAGGAAAUAUUUUACGUUUACUUAACGACAAAAUUUCGAGUUCACCAAUUUUUUUAGUUGUAACACGUUUUUUGUUUCGGCUACCUAACUAAAUUUCGUCGUAAAUUUCAACUACCAGAUUCAAAAAUUUCCUAUAAAUAUGGACGUUUGAACAUCAUUUUAAAUAUACCAACAAGAAAAAAAUAAAAAAAGUGAAAGAAAAAAAAAUGUCGGGCUCCGGAAAUAUUUUCGAGAUGCGGAAGUGGAUGUAUAUGCACAGAGAUGCUAACAGGAGAGUGACGAAAGAAUACCUCGAAGGGCUGGAGACAUUUAUGCAUCAAGCAGAUUCCACACCGCUCACCCAAGAAAGCGGUAAGAUGUUCUGGCCUUGUCGGAAAUGCAAUAAUUCGAAAUUGGCAAAUCGUGAAAAUGUUUGGAAGCAUUUAAUAAAUAGAGGUUUCACGCCAAAUUAUUAUAUCUGGUUUCAACAUGGAAAAGGUUAUAAUUAUGAGAAUUAAGCUAGUAGUAGUAAUAGCAAUUUUCAGGAAGAACCGAUUGAUCAUCAUUUGCAUAAUGAAUAUAGUUAUCAUGAGAAGGAGCAGAUGGUAGAUUAUGAUAGGGUUCAUGAUAUGGUAGCUGAUGCAUAUGUAGCGCAUGAUGAAGAUGAAGAACCUAACAUAGAUGCAAAAACGUUUUAUGAAAUGUUAGAUGCUGCGAAUCAGCUACUUUACAGUGGUUGUAGAGAAGGUCUCUUUAAAUUAUCGUUGGCUGCUAGAAUGAUGAAUAUUAAAACUAUUCACAAUAUACAUGAAAGUUCCAUGAAUGAAUGGGUAGACUUGUUUAAAAAGUAUUUGCCGGAAGACACUGUGUCUGCUGAUUCUUAUUAUGAGAUUCAGAAACUAGUUUAUAGUCUUGGGUUGCCUUGGGAGAUGAUAGACAUUUGCAUCGACAAUUGCAUGAUCUACCGGAGAGAUGAUGAGAAGUUAAAAAAAUGUUAAUUCUACAAGAAGCCACGAUUCAAGCCGCAAGGACGAGUACGUACAAUGGCAUUUUCUUACCGUACACUGCUCCAUUAUAAACUUAUAACCUUUGUAUGGUAAACCUAAACCAUAUAAUUCUCAUAUAUUCAGCCAACGAAAUUCAACAAAGAACAUAUCAUUAGUUUGUAACUCUUCAGAUUACAAUGUGAGCAUAAAAACUUAAAAAAAAAAAAACACUUUUACCACUUGAAUACUCUUUCAUGAUAACCUUGAUUAUUAUUAUUAUAUUAAUAUUUUAACCAAAAUAUGGCUAAUAAUAAACUUUUUGUAUACUGUUUUAUGAAGUUUAUAAAUAUAUAAAAAUGAUCACACAUUAUUACUCUUUCUAUAGUUUCAACAAUUAGUCACCAUAAAUAAUUAUUUAUAAUAUUAUAUAGAUUUUAACUGUUAAUAGACUUAUGUUUUUUUCUUUGGCAAGUGAUAUUAAUUAGUUAAAGAUUUACAUUUUAUUUUUAUAUCUAAUUAAAAUAAAUAAAAAAUGAUUGACCAAUCAAAUUAUAACAAUUUUGUAAGAGUUCACAUAUGAUUGACACGUAAGCAAAAAUCACUACAGUGACUUCUCAAUUAAUAUAUAGUAAAAUAUCAACUAACCAAAUAUUCAUUAACUAGAAAAAUUAAAGCAAUAUUUAUUAAUUUUUGAAAGAUACGUGUAUAUCUAUCUAUCUAUCUUAUUAAAACUGAAGUACAAAAAUAAAUUAACCCCUUAAUUAACAAUUUAAUUAUGAUUAAUGCCACCAGAAAUUAAUUAAUCAUAAUUUUCAGCAUUAAUUAAAAUUAAGAAAAUCUUGAUUUAAAAAUAUAAAAUAAAUUAAUUUUAUAUAUGGUCAACAUUAACGAUUAUUUCAAAUGACAACAUAUCUUAACAAAAUAUUUUAUAAAUUAAAUAAUUAAUUAGUUUUACCUGUAAUUAAUUAUANNNNNNNNNNNNNNNNNNNNNNNNNNNNNNNNNNNNNNNNNNNNNNNNNNNNNNNNNNNNNNNNNNNNNNNNNNNNNNNNNNNNNNNNNNNNNNNNNNNNNNNNNNNNNNNNNNNNNNNNNNNNNNNNNNNNNNNNNNNNNNNNNNNNNNNNNNNNNNNNNNNNNNNNNNNNNNNNNNNNNNNNNNNNNNNNNNNNNNNNNNNNNNNNNNNNNNNNNNNNNNNNNNNNNNNNNNNNNNNNNNNNNNNNNNNNNNNNNNNNNNNNNNNNNNNNNNNNNNNNNNNNNNNNNNNNNNNNNNNNNNNNNNNNNNNNNNNNNNNNNNNNNNNNNNNNNNNNNNNNNNNNNNNNNNNNNNNNNNNNNNNNNNNNNNNNNNNNNNNNNNNNNNNNNNNNNNNNNNNNNNNNNNNNNNNNNNNNNNNNNUAGUUUUACCUGUAAUUAAUUAUAUAUAUAUAUAUAUAUAUAUAUUUAAAACAUAUAGUAUGAUAUAAAUUAUUUUUUCCAUUACUUAAAGAUUAAAACUUAUCAAUUUUACUGUCCAGAACUAAGUUGUCAUUUAUAUUAUAAAUGAUAAAUAAUUUCAAAAAUAUAUCAAUUAUGUCUUUAAAAAUACAUUCAAUACAAAACAAUAUUCAAUAGUUCUAGGGGUGGGCGUUCGGGUAUCGAUUUGAGUUUGGUUCGGAUCUAUUUGGGUUUCAGUUUUUUGGGGUUAAAUAUUUCAGUCUCAUUUGGGUAUUUAUAAAUUCCGGUUCAAGUUUAGUUCGGAUUCGGACAACCCGUUUAAAUUAUUUUAAAAUUUUUUAAAUCAUUUUAUACUUUAAAUUUCUCAAAAUUGAUAAUCAAUAUAAUAUAUUACAUAUAAAUUUGAAUAAAAUACCUAAACUUAACAUAUGAAUUAGUUUGGCUUUGAAUGUUUGGAUAGAGAAUCAAUAGAUAUUUCUCAGUUUUUUGGUUUUUGAGUAAAUUUUAGCUAUUUUAGAUAUUUAUAUUUUAUUAUUUAUAUAUAUAUAUUAAGUAUUUUUGAAAACUUUAAAAUAUUUUAUGUACUUUAGAUAUUUUUAAUAUAUUAAAUUUAAAUAUAAUUAAUAUAUUUAAGUAUAUAAAUCUAUUUCAGAUAUAUUCGAGGUACUCGAAAUACUUCGGUUCGGAUCUGAUUUAGUUCUGAUUCUCUGGAUACCAAAAUUUAAACCCGUUUUGAUAUGUAAAUUUUGGUUCGGGUUCGGUACUACUUUUUCGGAUUGGGUACGGUUCGGGUCUUUAAAUUCAGGUUUUUUGCGUAGCCAUAUUCAAUAAUAUAAAAGAUAGUAAGAUUAAUUAUAAAUUAAAAACUAUUUAAACAGUUACAAAAUUGAUUACAAAAUAUUAUUGGUUACUAAUUUUUGAUAAAGUUAAAAGUUAUAUUAAAAUAUAAAAAUAUCAUCUAUUUUGAAACAUCAAAAACUCCAUUAUAUACACAGAGCCGUCCUUGGAGGUAAGCGGGAGAAGCGGCUGCUUCCAGCCGUCAUUAAUUUAUCAAGGUUAUCAGCCACAUUUUAAAAAUAUUUAUCCAAAAAUGGUGAAAUUUGAGCUAUGUGAAGGUGAGGGUUCGAAACAAUAUGCAGUGACAUUUUUUUAAGUAGUUUCUUUUUUAAAUAAUUAAACAUAAAUAGGCCAUUUUUUCUUAGUUCUGCUUCAAGCCCGGUAAAUAUGCGGACCGGCUCUGAUUAUACAUCAUCUAUUUUGAAACGGAAGAAGUAUAUAAUAAUAAAAUAAAACAACAUCCAAUACAAAUAAUAAUCCAAUGCUAAUAUAACAAUAUUUAUGUACAAUAAAUUGUAUUUUUUAAAAAUUAAAACAAAUACUCUCACCGGAUCAAAAUCUUGACAAAGAAAACAUAUUCAUUGAAGGAAGGGGCUUUUCUAAAUAAUGAACAUAUUCAUUGACAAAGAAAACAUAUUCAUUGUUAUCUCUUAUAUACUAAAUCACAAGUCACUACACCAAUAAUAUUUUGCCACAUAGAUCAAGAAAUAAAAGAGUUUAAAUACAAAAACAAAAAUGAAAAAAUGCAAAACAAAAAUAUUUACGCAAGAGACAAAAAUCAAAAAUAUUAUCAUUCCAUUUUGCGGAGCAGUUCCUCUUUCUAAACUCCAUGAUCACCACUCACUCUCCUAAUAACUAUCUCUAUUUCCUUUAAAUACUUUUUGAAGUUAUCCAAUGACCGAUUGUUAACUGACACAUUUUGUCUCUUUCUCUAAUCACAAAUCUGAUGUGGGUAUGGAUUGAUUCUUCCCAAAGGUAAAUAGUUAAUUUGUGUCAUUUUUAUGCUCUUGCUUCAUCUAUUUUCUUCUACGGCCUUUAAUCAAGUGUCACUCUUCGCAUUCAAGGUUUUCUUCAAAAGAUCAAGCUUAUAUUCUGAAAAUAUGAAAAAGUUACUUUCUAUUUUGCUCCCUUUCAAAAAUCUCUAUUCUGGUUUUUUCUAACGUUUAUAUGCUUGAAGAGAUCGUAUCCCAUUACUAAUUAGUAUUGAUUGAUGCAGAAACUGAAAAAUGUAAAAAGAGAGAAACUCCAACGCUUUAUUGAGAAAACUAUCAGCAAACUAAAAUUACAGGUAUAUUAUAGUAUUUACUAACUUUUUUGUCCUAACGAAUGAUCAUAUUUUGCAUGGUUUCCAUGACACUGAUAUACGACAACUUCGUAGAUUUGUUGAAAGGCCAUUUGAAUAGGAAUUAUAUAUUUCUUGGUUUUUUACUAGAAAUGUUGAGAAAAAAAUGAGAACAGAUUCUAAUUCAUAUAACUUUUUAAGUAAAAAACAAUCAUGUUGAUAUUGACUUAUAUAAGUGAGAUUUUAUAUUUUUUGGUUUAUCUAUUACAGUGAUAGGUAACUAAAAUAAUAAUUUGUUUUGAUGUUUUAUAGUUAUUAAGUUUUGAUCAGAUAAUUUAGAAAACAAUGAAAUUGACCCAUGCAUAGCAUGGGAGCUAAUACUAGUAUAUAGUAAAUUAGUAGCAAUAUAUAAGAAAACAACAAUAACUAAAAUAAAAGAAUAGCCGUUUGCUGCAAAAAAAAACUAAAAUAAAAUAAUUGAAGGUCUAUAUAUUUUCAUAAUAUAUAAAAGACUAAAUUUAUUGGAUCCGUAUAUUUCCAAUGAAGUCAAUAUUGCUUUUAGUGAUCCAACUUUUCUAAAACAGACCACAAAUUAAAUUUAUUUUAAUUUUCAUGAGCUUAUUUAUCAAUACCAGAUAAUUUUAUAUUCUUAUAUUUAAAAGUAAACAAAAAUAAUAAUAACAGAGACAAGACACUAGAAUUAUUUUAUAUAACUAAGGUCUGGCUGUAUAACUUUUUUAUUCUUAUAGAUCUUUUUAAUCUAAAAGUUUAGAGUAAUAAAUCCUUUUACUUCGUUUCGAUCCCCUUAAAUUUUACCAACAAGGUAAAAUGAAAAAAAAAAAGUUCAUUUUAUUUUUGAAAAAUGUUUUCUCUUUUGAUGACAAAAAAAAUGUUUAUAUUUUGUGUUUAAUGGCAAUAUUUUCCUCUUCUCUAUAAAAAAUCCAGAAUAACACAAAAAUCCAAAGAUAAUUAUUUAUAUUUUUCUCUUUUUUCCUAACUUUUUUCUCAGUUAUUCUACAUUACUCUACUUAUAUUACUCUCACAUUUCACAAGUUAGACCCAUAGUUUUAAAAUUGAAAAACAUGUCGGGACCAAACAGCUUUAGGACAGCUUUAGAAGCUGCGACCCAUACCGAAUAUAAGUAAUCAAUCCCCCCUGUACCUCAUGGAGUAUAUAAAACAGUAAACGACAAAACUACCUUUUUGCUAACUGCGUCAUCGCUUGUGUCAUUAAUCCUUUCAAACUUAUCUAGAAUAGAUGAAUCUGGAAACUAACAGCGAAGCUUUGUAUAAACCUCUCUCUAACUUGCUCUACCUUCUCUCUACCAAAGUUUCUAAAUCAAAGAAUCUCGUCGGUGACCGGUGGUCUUUCCACCGGUUACCAUCUUUUUUAUUUUGUUUUUUGUUGUGAAUACUUUCGAUCUAUGUAUCGAACUUGCUUCGCGUAGGCGAUCUUGUUUUCGUUAGGCGAUUUUGGUGUGCUAAGCUUUAAUCAAAACAGACCUGAUUUUCACUCGUAAUGUUUCUCUAUUUUGAAUUAAAGCUGAAUAAAGUUUUCAAGUUAAACUUCAUCUCUCGUAUUUCAACUUAUCUAUUCCUGUUUGUCUCUAAAAUUUUCUUCUUCUUUAUCUGGUCAUGCUUGAUCUUCAAGUUUGAAGAAAUCAAUCUUUGCUUCAUAUGGAUUUGGCAAAGUAUUCGGAUGAUUUGAAGAUUUGAGUUUUUACAAGUGAGCUUUUGGUUUGGUACAGUUUAAGAAAAGACAGAGUUUGUUCUAUAGACAAGUGUUCUGUCAAUAGCUGUGUCCUAAAUCAGAUAAUGCUUCUUGAAGAUGUUCACAUCCAGUGAAGACAGUAAGAGAGUCUCAGAGGCAACAGCGAUUGAGAGACUGAAGCAUACAAAUGGAAUCAAAGUUGGGUUCGAUCUUUGUGUUCCGGAGGAAUCGACUCGUCGGAGUUCAAGUCAGUUACCUUGCCGGAGAAGAGGCAAUCCUUUCCCAUGAGUGACACGUGGAGCCAGUUAAGAGAUGAUGGAGGCACGUAGAUGGACAACUGCCUUACUCUUGUUCAUCCUUAUCAUAUAAUUUAGGGUUUAAUUGGGCUCUGCAUUUGUAAUGGGUUUGAAUUCCAUUUGUAACAAAAAUUGCCCUUUGGGCUUUUAAUAUAAAGGUUGACAAAAAAAAAAAACAGCGAAGCUUUGCAUGAUUUAAUCCCCCAUACCUCAUGGAAUAUAUAAAAGCAGUAAACGACAAAUCUACCUUUUUGCUAACUGCGUCAUCGCUUGCGUCAUUUAAUCCUUUGAAUCUUAGAAUAGAUGAAACUUGAAACUAACAGCGAAGCUUUGCAUGAUUUCAUAACACACGUGAUUGCAUGAUUCUUGUAACCGAUAGACCUCUAAUAGCUCCAAAUUAAAGCGGCGCAGUGAAACAAACGAUGCAGAGCUAGCGAAGAGAAUGGAACAACACAUUGUGUAUAAUGGGAAGUGCCAAACGAAACGAUGGGAAUAAAUAAACAUAUAAAUCAGAAUUUUCAGAGUCGAGAUAAUUUAAUUGUUUGGUCAACAAUACUCUUUUUUUUUGGAUUUUGAGUUCUUACUGAGUUUAGUUUUUCUUGUUAUAAUAUUUAUUUGGCACAGUUCAAAAACUAAUUCAUUUAACUCGUAUUAUAAAACAUAUAUAAGGUGAUUUAAGAAAUAAGCUAAACUGAGUUACUUUAUGUAUAUGUUGUUCAGCAAAUUAGUUCGUUUGGAAGUUGGAACCAAUAGACCCCUUUUUUUACAGCAACCAGUAGACCUUAUAUAUAUAGGCAUAUAGCAUAAUAUAAUAACUUCCUCAGUUUAUUUCUUACCAUCAAAUAGAUAGAAAUAUGCAUGAUAAUAUAUGUUCUUGAACCAGAAAAGUAUUAUGUAUUAUAAUAUUGUGCCAAAUAUUCAAUAGUGACUUAAGCUAAUACUGAAAACUUCCUCGUUUUCACGAUUCAUGUGUAAGGCAGAUUACUAUAUUGAUAUUCUAUAUAUACAUGGUGUCAGUGGCGGAGGGCUUGUUGUGAACUUGUCAGGAGGGUCAUAUGCUCUAUAUGGAAUUUUAUAAAAAGAAAAUUUUAGUUACAUUUAGAAGAUAGUAUAGGGCUUGUUGUGAACUUGUUAGGAGGGUCAUAUGGUCUGUGUGGAAUUUUAUAAAAAGAAAAUUUUAGUUAUAUUUUGAAGAUAGUAUAGCACUCCAUCUCUCAUCCACGCACUACUCACACGACCCAAUACGUACCAAUUGUUUAUUAAUAUUAAAAAUAUCUUUAGUCUUUUUUUUUUUUUUGCCAACUAAAUUUAUUAAUAUUAUUAUAUGGACAAAGUCCAGUUACACACAACCAAGACAAAGGUCCAAUCGAUAAAUUUAACAGGGCCACCAAAAAACAUACAACUAGAAACUAAAUGGGCUAAGCCCACCAAACCAAAGUCUAAGUCGAACAUAUCGACACAUCGCCUACGUGUGUUUAACCUCACAGCGAGGAUAACACGUGCCACCAAACCGCUUUACCUUCUCCAACGCCGGAGAACCACGAUUCACAUCAUCGGAAUCACAUCGGAGACUGCCUCCAUCUUCCACGGUCGUGGUCUUUUCAAAGGAGAGCAUCCAUCGAUCACAUCGAAAUCUCAUCCAGAGUCACCAACCGCUUGAUUACGAACACCCAGAACCUCCAUCUCGUUUUCUUCAUCGCUUUAUCUUCAACGUCAGAGAGUUUCAUCGAUCUAUUCGAGAACUCAUCCAACAGACCAAAGCCGACAAACAGAGGAAACCACAAACCAAAGUAAAAAUCACACCCGAUUCAAAUCGGGACCAAACCCCAACUGAUCAAAAGCCGGCAACGAGGAGCUUUAACAGCCUCCUCCCUCCAGAGUCAUAAGCCGGAGACGACGGAGCUGAGAAAGCCUCCACCUCCCGGAAUCAAAGGGUCAAACUGAUGAAAGGAAAUAAGUUUCCUUUCUUUCCAAAACACAUGCAGAAGAAAAUAAAAAACACAAAGCCGGACCGACGGUGGCUAGGUUAGCCGAGCCCGCCGGCCGGAAACGCAAGUCUCACAAACGGAGUUCUAGUACAUAAGGUUAAAAAAAAAAUAUAUAUAAAAAAAAAAAAUAUCUUUAGUCAAUACGUAGUAUUAGUUUCCGUAAUCAAACGAGGGUUGUGACAACUGACAACUGAUGCACACAAAUUAUAGAGUAUGAAUGGGGAAUGAAUAAAAAGUGGAGGAUCUGUCUCAACUCUCAAGUGGAUGAACCAAUUUUAUAUUCUCGUUCAACAUUUUUUUUUAGUUAGAAUUUAGACUGCUUUUUAAAUUAUUAAAUUAAUAUUGAACUACUAGUGGUUUUAUAACAUGAACAAAAAAUGAAAAACCACUAUCUACAGUAGAUAUGCAACAAAUAUGGAGUGUUUUUUUCCACAGGUAAUACUGUUUUGUAUUUUUUUCUUAUAAAAAUAAUAAUAAGCUUCAAAUUUAUUUAAAUAAUAAUAAUAUAUACAACAACUUACUAAUAUCUUCUUUUAUGUAUAUUUUAAAUAUAGAAGUACAUGCAAUUAAAUAAUGGUAUUUAAAUAAUGUAUAUUUUACGUUUUAAAUUUGUUAUAUUUAUGUCAAUGUUUUAUUUACGUAACACAAUAGUAUUUUCAUUAUGGUUAUUAAAUACAGAUUUACACUAAAUUAAUAAAAAAUGUUAAAUUAUAUAUAAUUUUAUAUAAAUAUAAUCAUAUAAAUAUUUGGACCACUUGGUCCACUUGUGUUUCAUUUUGAAAAUAAUUUAUUUUUAAUUUAAUUUUAAAGUUCAAGACAAUUAUACUACUUUAUAAAACACAUUUUAAAUCAUUCAGAAUAAAAUAAAUAUAUAGUUUUAAAGCUUAAAUAAUUACAUAUGUAUUAAAAUAAGUUUAUGUAAAAUUUGAAUAAAAUUUAUAUUUAUCGAUUUUUAUAAAAUAUUUUUGUAAAAUAAAUACUUUAUUUUAUUUAAAGCUUAUAUAUAUAUAUAUAAAAUAAUUUUCGUUUAUAUUUUGAAGAAAAUUAUUUAAUUAUGGAAAUAAAUUUAAAAUUAUAUAUAUAUAUAUAUAUUAUAUAUAUUAUUUUAAAUUUGUACAGUACUUUAAACUGCUUUUUAUCCACUUUUACCAUUCAAAUAUGGGGAAAUUUUACUUUUACACUUUGUUGGAUACCACUUUUCAACUUUACCAUAAGUGUAAGGACAUUUUCACAAAUACCACUUUCAUUAAUGAGCAAAAGACAAUAAUACCCUUACCUUAUCUUCUUCUCCACCAUCGGUUUCUCUCCCUCUCCCCGAGUCCCCGUCGUCUCUCUCCACCAUCGAGUCACUGUCGUCUCUCUCUCCUUCUGGCGUCUCUCUCUCACCGUCUAGUUUCCGGCGUGUCUCUCUCACCGUCGAUCUCUCUCUCACCGUAGACUUCUGGCGACGAAAUCAAUUCAAAAUCUCCAAGAUGUCGACUCGUAUACGUGAUUCACAACUUGUAUGUCUCUAAUUUCUGUAUUUGUUUGUUCUCUAAUUUCUGUAUUUUUGUUUGAUUCGAUUUUGUGCUUUCUCUUAUCGAAAAAUCAAACAAGGUUCUCUUAGAUAUCUCAUUUAACGAGAUCGAUCUAAGAGAAACUGAUUUGAUAGUGAAACGUUGAGAGUGAAAACAUUGAGUAUUUGAAAAUUUAAAUCUGGUUUUGAAGUCAUAUUAAGAUUGAUCUGAAUGGUUCCGGCUAAGAAAGAGAUUUUCCGAUAGUGAAAACUGCAUAUUAAGGAAGAUAUAAUUUACGAUAGUGAAAACUGAAUAUUAAAGAAUUAUAACCCCUUAUAAAUCUGGGUUUCAUGAGAUUGUUGAUAAAUACAACUCAAUGAUUUAUAAGUAAAGAAAAAAGAUGCAUGAAACAAAAGUCAUAGGUACAAAAGUCACAAAUCAAGAAGCCAUGGCAAACAUGAAGACUAAGUUUAUGGCUUUAUGGGAUGGGUUUUCUACUGAUCGUAAGUUGAAUCCUUCACCUUUCAGAUCACUCUAAAGCAGUCUAGAGCAUGCUCUACUUGGAUAUAGUAGUUUUUAAAUGAGUAUAAUGGUUGCUUUGUAGCAUAUGCGAGGGUGAUGGUACUUGCUGCAACAAACAGACCAUCAGAGUUUGAUGAACCAAUAAUGAGGCGUCUUCCUCAAGCCUUUGAGAUUGGAAUGCCUGAACGUAAGGAGAGAGCUGAGAUAUUGAAAGUGACGCUGAAGGGAGAGAGGGUGGAGCCCGAUAUUGACUACGAUCACUUAGCUCGUCUAUGCGGAGGCUACACCGGAUCAGACAUCUUUGAGCUCUGCAAGAAAGCAGCUUACUUCCCUAUCAGAGAAAUCCUAGAGGAAGAGAGAAAAUGGAGACCAUGUCCUCUAAGUUUCAUAUGAAAAUGUCCAAUGCUGUUGCAUUCACCAAAUUUGCAAGUGUUGAUGUUGUGAGUUGCUAUCAUUUUGUUUGUCAGGUACCUAGGACAUUGUCACAGUUGGAUUUGGAGAAAGUUCUUGCUACGUCGAAGAAGACGCUAGUUGCAGCAGGCGAGUAUUGUGGAUUGAGAUGGUCAAGGGAACCAGAUGAGGUGGAAGCAGCUACUUUGUGUAUUUUUUUUGUUUGAAGAAAUUCAACGAAGGUAGGUUUAGAACAUGUCGAUUUAAGGGAAAGAGUUUCAAUAGUAAACAUUGAAUUUUCGAAAAAUUAUAAACCUUUAUAAAUCUGGGUUCAAGUAAUUUUAGGAUUUUCGUUCCUCUGUUAUCCAAAAAACAAAUAAGGUUGAUUUAGACUUGUCAUUUGAAUAGUUCUAGUUAGGAGAAAGAUUUUCGGAUAGUGAACAUUGCAUUUUAAAGAAUUAUAACCUCUUAUAAAUCUGGGGUUUAGGAUAUUGUCGAUAGUACAACUCAAUGCAAUACAAGGUUUUAUAAAUAAAGGUUGUAAACAGGAGUUGAUCAUAUAUGUCUAUAAAAAACAUAUAAAUGUGUGAAUUUGAAAACUCUCGUGUUUUAUUAUUAUAUAUUCUUUGUAAGGCUGUUAUCGAAAUACAUGAACAUUAUGAUUGGAUAAGGUAUUUUUAGACCGUGAUUAAAAGUUAACAUCAUCUUUUUAUUUUGUCUUACAGUUAGAUAGCAAUGAAUUGCACAUCUUUGAGAUUGCCUCUGAGGAUUUAUGAAGCUGGAACAGAACCAGUAGACAAUUUAAAAGUGAUUAUCCAAUCGGUAUCUUUGUCAAUAAUGUGAAGUGUUUAUAAAAGAUUAUAAAUGUAGUUUUAUAGGAGUUUAUAAAAUUAUAAGUAGAGACUUAUAAAACGUUGUUUAUUCUUUGUUACAUCUUGUGGUUAAUACAGUGUUUGGAUUCCCUGAGGAAUACAAACAUUUCAUGAACCCAACACCUCCUGAUCUUGAUAACAUGGAUCUUAACAGUUCAACAAGGAUAUAAAAUGAAGAAAAGCUAAUGGGAACAAGGAUUUGUGAAUUUACAUUUUGUAACGUAUGAUAUAAGGCAAUAACACAUGAAAGAAGAUAAAAAUGAAGAGCAAAGGAAAGAUAAAGAGCAAAUAAGAGUUUAUAAAUCAUUUAUAAAAGUUUAUAAAACAAUCUGUAAAGUUUAUAAUCUUUUUAUAAAGGUUUAUAAAACAAUUAAUAAAAUCUAUAAACCAUUUAUAAUUGUUUAUAAAAAUGUUAUGAAAGUUUAUAAACAAUUUAUAAGGGAUAUGCAUACAAUUUAUAAGGUUUAUUGGUUUUUGAAUUACUUAGAAAGUCUCUGAAAUUAUUUAUAAGAGGCUAUAACAAUUUAUAAAGACUUGUAAAAUAAUCUUUAUAAGGAUAUAUAAAUAAUUAAUAAGAGUUUAUAAAUCAUUUAUAAAAUUUUAUUAAAAACAAUUUAUAAAUAUUAUAAACCUUUUAUAAAGGUUUACAAAUUAUUUGUAAGAGUCUAUAAACCAUCUAUAAAGGCUUAUAAAACAAUUUAUAAAGUAUAUAAACUAUUUAUAAAUGUUUAUUACAAAAAUUAUAAAAGUUUAUAAAUCAUUUAUAAGGGGUAUGUAUAUAAUUUAUAAGGUUUAUAGAGGUAUAUACAGGUUUAGAAAUCAACUGGAGAUAUUAAAUCAAUUAUAAGAGUCUAUAAAUAUUUAGAAAAGCUUAUUAAACAAGUUAUAAGAGUUAAUAAAAUAAUUUUCUAGGGUUUAUAAAGGUAUGUAAAUAAUUUAUAGGAGUUUAUAAAAUAUUUAUAAAAACAAUUUAUAUGAAUAUGUUCUAAACAACCAACUUCGUCAACUCUUUAAUGUUGUUCAAUUCAGUCUUAGAAUGUGUGUGAGUUUCUCUCUACAACAUUAAUCAUGCAGUUAUUUACUAAAAGUUAAAUUUGUUCCAAUUUUUUUAGACCUUUAUAAAAUAUAAAUCUGGAUUUCAAGAUAUUGUCAAAAGUACAACUCGACGAUUUAUAAGUCUUUAUAAAAAAGUUUUUUAAUAAGAGUUCAAGUAAUUUUAGGAUUUGCUUCCUUCUGUUAUCUAAAAAGCAAAUAAGGCUUAGUUGGACUUGUUAUUUGAAUAAUUCUGGUUAAGAUUAAGAUUUUCGGAUAGUGAACACUGCAUUUUUACAGAAUUAUAAUUCUUUAUAAAUCUGGAUUUCAGGAUAUUGUUAAAAGUACAACUUGACGAUUUAUAAGUCUUUAUAAAGAAGUUUUUAAACAAGAGUUGAUCGCAUAUGUCUAUAAAAACAUAUAAAUGUGUGAACUUGAGAAGUUUUGUGAGGAAUGCUAGGCAGAAUAAGUAUAAGAAACUCAAAAAUGAUUUAUAAACGUUUAUAAACGGAUUUAUAAUGGCUUACAAGCUAAUUUUUCUAAAGUUCCUCAAAAAGACAAUCAAUACAAAAAGGCAUAUCUGGUGAAAGAGCCACGUCCUUCAGCAAAGGAUAUACUGCCUCAACCCUCUCUAUAGACUGUACAGAGACCAUGCUUGUGAUCAGAAUCAAACAAGCUCAUUUCAUGGUUUAGUUUUAUAAAUACUACUACUUACCUUAACUCAUGUGGAUGGAGAAGAGAAUGUGAGAAGCACCAAGAUCU